UUUAAAAGAUGUUGAAUAGAAUGAGUAGAUAAUUAUCACUUAAUAUUAAAAAGAUUAUCUCUUUACUUUUUUUUAUAAAUGAAAUAUUUAAAUUAUUAUAUUUAAUUAUAUUAAUAAAUUUUCAAAUAUGAUAAUUAUAUCCAUUACUUAAUUUUUACAAAUAGUAUUAUAAUAUAAAUUAUUUACUUAAUCUUUCUUACAAAGAGGGAAAUUUGCGGAAAGUUUUUAUUAAUUAUGAAAAUAAUUCACUUUCAAAAUCAUGUAUGUAAACGACUUGUUUUGAACAGUAAAUUUUGGUGCCGCAGUUGCUAUUGGCGGCACCAGACUGAAGUGUGAUUAUAUAAAACGUUCAGGGACCUGAUGAAGCAAUUAUCUUUUUAGAUUGGAUGAAAAAAAGGGUAACGCCUUGACUGCUAGCGAAACCCAAUCCUUUUAAACUUUUAGUCUAUUUGCAUGUUAGAUCAGUCCCCUUUUGAAAUUAAAUUUAAAUAGUUCUUAAAAAAUAUGAGAAUAACAAAAAUAAAACAUUUUCAUUUUUUUAAAAACAACAAACUUGAAAAAUAUAUAAAAUUAUUAUUUAAAUUACCCAAAUAUAUCCCUAAACAAUUUUUCUCAAGUUUUAAAUAAGAAUUUUUUACUUGAGGAAAAUUAUUGAGGGAUAUAUUUGGGUAAUUUAAAUAGUAAUUUUAUAUAGUUUUUAAGUUUAUUAUUUUUAAAAAAAAUGAAAAGGAUUUAUUUUUGUUAUUCUUAUAUUUUUUAAGGACUAUUUAAAUUUAAUUUCAAAAGGGGACUAACUUUACAUGCAAAGAUCAAAAGUUUAACAUCCCUUUUUUUCAACCAAUCUAAAAGGGUAAUUAUUUCAUCAGGUCCCUAAACGUUUCAUAUAAUCACACUUCAGUCUAAUGCCAUCAAUGGCAACAACGACAUCCAAAAAAAUUAAUUUUUUUUAAAACCAGCCAAUGGUUGGCUCAUUAUCAAGAGUGGUGCCGCCAAUGACAACAACGGCAUUGAGGUUUACUGUUCAAAAUUGGUCCAAUUAAGUACAUGAUUUUGAAAGUGGGUUAUAUUCUUAAUUAAUAAAUUUUUUUGGGUCAAAUUUAAAAAAAAAGCUAAUUUUGUUUUCAUUUAAUUAAACUUUGGUCAUAUUUAGAGUAUAUGAAUUGGAGAAGUUAAUUUAUUUAUUUUUAUUGAUUGUUGUAUAUCAUAUUUUGCGGUUAAUGAAAUAGUGCAAAUUUCUUAAUUAGUUAUUGUUUCAUAUGUAGACGUAAAAUGAUUCAACAUAUCUAGGGUUUGAUUAUUUUUCAAGUUAUAAACAUAUAAUCUUAUCAUGUCAUUAUCUUAUAAGACAAGUUGAAGGCAAAGACACGAAAAAUAUGUAAGAAUUAAAUAAAUUAUUAGCUUUAAGUCCAAUAAGAAGUCCAUACGUAUUGAUUGAGUGUUUGAAUUAUUAAACCAUGAAUUAUGAAGGAAUGGAGGAGAGCUUUUGAUUCUCUUUUUUCAACUUGAAUUUUUUUUAAAAUAGAAAGUCAUCACUUUUGAAUCUUCCAGCCUUAAAUUUAGCUCCAUGUUUUGAAGAGUUCAAUAAUAAUUACGUCUCAAAAAUAGAUUUAGAUAAAAAUAUUACACAUUGUGGAGUAUUUUUUUCUAUCUUCCUCAGGUAGUGGUAUCUGUAUAUUUAUAUGAUAUGUGUACUAUUUAUUGACAUGAAAUGCUAGGUAGGCUUCAUGCAUGUAGAUACGUAUUCUAUUCUAAACUCUAACACAUGUUUAUAAGGUCUUAUGCACGUGUAACAUUACAGAAAAGCGAGCUCAAUCUACGAGCUUGGCCCGCAUAUGUAACCUCCCAGGAAAGCGAGCUCGACAUGCGAGCUCAUUACAAUCUAGCCCAAAUCCAUUUGGGCUUUGGGUCGAUGAUGGUAAUUAUCCUAACAGACUCGUUUGAGUUUUAAUAUUCAAGGUUUAAGUCCGACCUCAUCCAAAUUAUUUUCUAAUUUAUAUUAUAUAUAUUAUAUAAUUUAUUUCACAUUAAAAUUAAAUUUAUAAUAAUAUGAUAGAUUUAUGACACACCCGUGAUAAGGGUAAAAAAUUAUGUAACAAAUAUAUUUAUUAAAAAUUAUGUAAAAAAUUUAAUUGAUGCUUUGGUUACACUAGUAAAGGCAAAUGUUUAUUAUUAUACAUAGUGUUUUGAGUUCAAAACUUAUUCUGGUCAAUUUUUUAUUGAUAUAUUAUAUAUAAAAAGAUACAAACGUCCUCAUAAAAAAAUAUAACUUAAUUCAAAUAUGAGAGUCUAAUUUAAUAAUUUUACAACUGAAUUGGUACUCAAUCAGUGGUGAAACUAGGGGGGCUGGCAAAGGCCCCGACCCCCCCUAAAAUGAAAAUUUUUUCAUAUGGCCCCUUUAAAAUUUUUAAAAUCUUAAAUUAAUAAAGGUAAAAUUACACUUUGACCCUCUAAAAAUAUAAAAAUUUGAUUUAAUUCUUUAAAAAUUAUAAAGAUAUAGUCUAUUAAAAUGGUGGAAUUACAUUUUUUCUAUCAUAAGAAUUAUAAUUUAAUUUCGACCCCCCUAAAAAAGUUUCUGGUUUCGCCCCUGUACUCAGUUGAUGCGUGACACCAACUCAAUAAAAGACUUAAUAUAAGUAUAGAGAGAUAUAGAUAUAGAUAAUAUUAUAAUAAUGUAAAUAUUAGAAAAUAUGUAAAAUUGGCUAUUUUUAAAAUUUCAAUAAAAAUAACAUAUGUUUUUGUAAAAAAUUUCAAAAAAAAUAUGGAUGGGCUUAAAAUGUAACAAUCCGGUUUAGACCCUAGUAGGAAUAGUGGUUUCGAGACCACAUAUCCGAGUUAGAAAAAUAUUUUAAUAUUAUUUUAUAUGAUUAAAAUAUAUGAAUUUAUGUCUGUGAAAGUUUCGUAUGAAAAUUUAAUUGUUUGUGUGCUUAAUUUGAUAAAAGGACCAAAUCGCAUAAAAAAGUAAAAGUUGCUUGCUAUAUGUUAAAAGUGCCUAUUUGAUUUGGUUUUAUACAUGAGAGGUCCUUAUGUGGUAAUUAUUCCAUUUACAUGGUUAUUGGACAUAUAUGCCCUUAUUACAAAUGAUUUUUAUAUGUAUUAAUAAAGGGAAAAUUUGGUAUUUUAUUAAUAAAUAUAAGUUAAAUAAAACAAAGCUUAAAAUAAGCUCAUUUUCAUGCUCAUCAACCGAAAAUUACAAAUGAAAGAAAAUAAAAAGUCUUGCUAGGGUUCAGCAAUAUUAAGCUUUGAUUUAGGUACGUUUUUGUUUCGGUUUUUGAUAAUUUUUACGUUUUUGCAAUCACUGCUUCGUAUAUUAUCGAACCCAUACCCCAAUUUUUGAUUUUGUUAAUGAUUUUGAAAUGUGCCAUGGAUGAAUUCAUGAGCUUUGUGAUGUUAUAUGUUGAAAUAUGAAAGCUUGAUGUUGGGUUUACAUGUUUUGUCUUUGGAUUUUUGAUAAAUUUAAGUAAUUUGAGCUAAAUUGUGAAAUUGAGUUUUUGAGGGACUAAAAUGUGAAAUAAGUGAAAUAUAUGGGCUUAUUUGAAUACUAUGAGAAUUCGGCCUAACACGGAUAUAUGUAAAUUUGUGUCUUUUGUGAUUUUGUGAAAUAGGGACUAAAUUGUCAAAAUGUGAAAAUAUGAGGGCUAGUUUACAAAAUGCCCUAAAUAUGUGUUUAUGGAUUUUUUUUUGAAUGAAUUUGUGAUUGAAUAAGUUAAAUUUUAAUUUAUAUAGAUCAAGAGUUAAAGAAAACGUAAUUAGAUCGGGAAAAAUCGAAAGUUGUCAAGUAACCGAUUUCAUCUGAAUCCGUACGAGGUAAGUCGAUAUACAAAUAAGCUUGUUUUAAAUUGCAUUAUUAUUAUUCAUUUGAUAUUGAAUUGUGAUGAAUGAAUGUCUGAGCUAAAUUUAUGUUAUCCGAGAAAGUAUCGACAAGGUUCCGACGUCUGAAAAGCCUCGUACGAACCUGAGGAAUAGUUAGGAUACAUAUGUCAUGACAUAGGAUCUGAUAUAUGUUUUCGUGUAAGACCACAUCUGGGAUGUUGGAAUCGACUUUUGUUUUACAUGUAAGACCAUGUCUGGGACAUCGGCAUCGUAUCUGAUUUCGUGUAAGACCCUGUCUGGGACAGUGACAUCGACGUUUGAUUGCAUGUAAGACCACGUCUGGGAUGUUGACAUUGUAUAUACUUUCUGAGUUCUCCGCGUAUCCUUACGUUUCCAAAUGGUUCAAACGGGCAUUCUGAAAAAUGAAUGACUUGUGAAAUACAUAUUUGAUUCAAGUACGUUUGAAAUGAGUAUCAUAUUUAAUAGUGAAAGGUAAGUAUGUAUUCUUUAAUGAACAAAAGAUGAUAUGUGGUAAAAGUAUGAGAAAUUAUGAUAUAUGUGUCAUGGAAAUUGGAAGAUAUGGAAUGUAUGUGAAUAUAGAAGUUGUAAUUGUUUAUGACUUGAAGUAUAUGUAAUUUUGAUAAUGAAUUAAUGUUUAAUGUGUUAAGUUUUUUUUGUAUACGGCUUACUAAGCUUUUAUAAGUUUACUCUGUGUGUCUUUUAACUGUAUUACAGAUAUCGUAGCUACUGGAAGCUCGGGGAUCAUUAUGGUUCAUCACUGCACUAUCGAACUUCAUUUUGGUACAUUUUGGAAAUGUAAAUAUUGGAGUAUGGCAUGUAUAGGCUAGAGGUGUAACAGCCUUUUUUUUAGGGUUGAUCGGAACAGUGUUUCGGGGCCACCAAAUUCGAACGAGUAGGUUGGUAAAUAUUAUAUUUAAUAUUUACGAGUUAAUUGUGAUUUUAAAAAUGUUUUUGAUAUUGUGAUUUUUGUUUUAUAAGCGAUUUAUUAAGUUCAAGUGGUAUGACCCUAAGGUCAAGUGGGUUUAGAAAAUGAGGUAUCGGAACCUUGUUUCUAUAAACCGAGUCGUAAAUAUUUUUAUAAAUAUUUACGUAGUGGCAAUAAGAUGGUAUUAAAGUUUCGUUGAAAAAUUUUAUCGUUUCGAUAGUUAAUUAAACAAAAAGGACUAAAUUGUGUAAAGUGCAAAAGUUGUGUUCUAUAACCUAAAGGUAUUAAAUAGAUAUAGAACUUAAAAGUAGAAGUCCUUAUUUGGUAAUUAACCCAUUAAAGAGAUAGUGGGAUAUGAUGGCUUGGCAUUUGGUGUAAUAAAUAAAGUGUAUAAAGGUUAAUAUUGUAAAUUGGUUAAAAAUAAUAAUAAAAUGAAUAUAAUAAAAGAAUCAAGGUGUCAUCUUUUUCAUUCUCUUUUUACCAGCCGAAUAUGAAGGCUUGAGAAGCCAUGGAAGAAGCUUCCAACUUUCAGCUAAUGCAUGGUAGGCAUUUCUAGUCCCGUUUUUAAUUAUUUUUAUAUUUUCAGGAUCGUUGUUGCUUAAUCUAUCUAAUGAGGGGCCUAUUUUGCAAAACCAUUGAAUAGUUUGAUAUUUCCCAUUGAUGAGUAUAAUAGGGCUUUGAAGUUUAAUGGAAGAAUGUGAGUCCUUGUUGAUAGUUAAACACUUUUUGUUAAGUGAAUUUUUGUGAAGUUGACAAUUAAGGGCUAAAUUGAUAAAUGUGAAAACUUUGUGGUUAAAAUGUCAAAUAAAUGAAAUGUGUGGGCUGCUAGAGACACUAGUGAUAUUCUUCUAUAGUAGAAUUUUACUCAAUUUCAUGAAUUUGCAUUUUUAUGAUAUAGGGACUAAAUUGUAAAGAAGUUGAAAUAUUAGGGGCAAAAUUAUAAUUUUUCCAUAAAGUGAAUUAUGGACUGUUUUGAUACCAUGAACAUUUGGCUAAGCUUAAUUAUGGUUAAAAAUGGUUAAUUUGCAUGUUUUGAGCUCAGGGACUAAAAUGAAUAAAAUUAAAAUUUUAGGGGUAAUUUUGUAAAAAUGACAAAAAUGACCAAAUUGUAUGAAAUGAGGUGUUUUAAUGUCUAAAUUAAUAUACUGAAUGAAAUUAUUAAUUUAGAUCAAGAUCGGGUGGAAAAUCGAGAAAAAUGAGAAAAUUACCAAAAUGCCCCUAAACUUUGGUAUCUCUACAAUUUAGCCAGGUAAGUUCGUAUGCAAUAAGCAUUGUUAAAUUGAUGUUUCUAAUGCUUUAAUAUUGUAUAAAUUGUAUAUACGUGAAUAUUUUAAUGUCUGACGACAUAUCGACAAAAUGUGGCACUUAGUGUGCGGGGCAAUCAAAUAUGGUACUCAGUGUACGAAAUAUUGAGAAUGGCACUUAGUGUGCGAGAUAUUGAGAAUGACACUUAGUGUGCAAAAUAUCGAAUGAUUCAAAGGGAAAUUAUAAAUUGUGAUUGAAUGAUUAAAUAUAGCAAAGUGAACAGGUAUACAUGCUAUAUUAUAUGAAUUGUUUAUGAGACGACUUUAUAAUGGUGAUAUUUGGGCUUUGAGCCUAGCAAGCUUUAAGCUGGUGAAUAAUAUUAUCGGGUUUAAAACCUAGCAGGCUAAAUGCCGGUGAUUUGAUAAAAGUCUAAGACUAUGAGACUUGUGUUAAAUCGGCAAUUGAAUUUGUUCAAUGCAUUAAGUUGGCCAGGUAUGUGAUAUAUUCUUAUGCAUGUUAGAUCGAUUGGAAUUGAAUCAUGAAUGUGAAAUGAGAAGCAUAGGUGAAAAUGCCUAUGUCAUAUAUGUGAGUAAGGGCAAAACCAUCGUAAAUUAUCGAUAAGGGUGGACUAUGUGCGGAAUCAUCUUAUAAUUGCUAAUUUGAACAGUUGUGUGCGAAUCAUUGAGCAUGAUGUAUUGUAUUGAGAUUAUGCUUUAGUGAAAUUAUAGAUAUGUGAUGAAAUUGAUUGGUGAUAUACAUGUUUAAAUAAUGUGAAUGCAAAGAAUGUGUGAAAGAGUAAAUUUGUAAUAAAUCUGCUUGGGAUAGCAGCAGUAACGUGAUUUUGGAAAAUCACCAUAAAUUGUUGAAGUUGAGUUAGAAGCUGAAUAAAUUAUGUAAUUAAAGCUUAAUGAGUCUAGUUUCUUAUAAAAGAAACCGUGUAAGCAAAAGAAUUGCUGAUAAUGAGAUAUUUGAAGUGGCGUGGGAUAGAGUCAAAUGACUUCGGGGUCCCCUAUUCCGUUUUUAGAAAAUCAUUAUAAUUUGUACAAAAAUGGUUAUAAGAUAAAAUUUAGAUGCUUAGACUCCUUAAUGAGUCUAGGAAACUUUAAGAAAAAUCUGGUAUUGAUUGGCCAAACCUAAAAUUCUGAAAAUUUUACAGAUGGAAGAUAUAUGAGUCUAUUUUCAGGGAAAAUUAACGGAAAUUGAUUUGGAGUUUUGUAGCUCCAGUUAUAAAUAAUUUAAUGACUAUUGCUCAGGAAGACAACUUGUAGUGAAUUUGUGAUUAUGUUGUAAACAUUAAUAAAACUUUUUAAUGAGUUGCUUAUUGUUUUCUUAUGAACUUACUAAGCGUAAAGCUUACUCCCCUUUUCCUAUAUUCCCUAGGGUUGCCAGGUUAGCUCGGGUUGGAGGCCGUCAGAGAUAUUAUCACAUUGUCAAGUCUACGCUAUUGGCGUAAGUAAAUCUUAGUGUUUCGAGUCUAUGGCAUGUAUAGGGUUGUAAAGUUGAGUAAGUAAAUGAUACAAGACUAAGAUAUUGGUAAAUAUUUAAUAAUGCCUCAUGAAUAUUUUGGGCCUUGUAAGCCUGAUUAAAGGAUAAUAUACGUGUGUAUGAAAAGUUUAAAAUUGAUCAAAAAUUUUUACGGUCUGGUUUUAUAUAAAUGGAUGAGUUUAAAUCUGGUAGCACCUCGAACCCUGUUUCGGUGAGGGAUACGGGCGAAGGGUGUUACAAGAGGUGCUUUGAAUAUGUUUUGAAAUAUGUAUAUAUCUCGCCAUGUGAUUUGGCUUGAUUAUGGAUAUGUUUAUGAGUGAUUGUGGUAUAAGUUAUAUGAUGAAGUUAUGUUUAUGACAUGUUCUUGUUUGGCCAAAAUAAAUGGUCAAUCUGGUAAGUAUUUGGUAGGUACAUAGUAUGAGAUUGAGUGGUAUGUAUUAAGGUUUAAUAACCAUAUGUUUUGAGAUGUUUUUGUCUUAUGUUUUGGCAUAAAAUAGUAAUGUUAUUAAGCAUGGAAUUGGUUGGCAAUGAUAUAACAUGAAUGGUUAAAGUUUUGAUUGUGAAUUAGAUGUGAAUUGGUUAAGAAAUGUUGUGAUUUUGGUUGCUUGUAGGUUUGAUUUAAAUGGGUGGCAAAUUGGCUUUUCUAAUGGCUUAUUUUUGUCCACACGGGCGUGUGCCUCAGCAGUGUGCGACACACGGCCAUGUUGUACUGCCGUGUGUCCCUUGAGGUACCCUACAAUUGUAAGUCAGGCUUGAGCAUGGCCAAGACACACGGGCAUGUCUUGUAGCCGUGUGAGUAAGUCAUUAUAUAUGCCCUGCUUUGACACGGCCUAGACACACGGGCGUAUCUAAUGCCGUGUGAGACACACAGCCUGUUCACACGGGCGUGUGACCUGUAUUACUUUGAGAAAUGUUUAAGUUUUGGAAAAAAUUUUGUAUGAGCUCGGUUUAAUCCCGACCCUUUUCUGAUGUAUGUUUAAGGUCUCGAUGACCUAAAUAAGGGACAUUAUGUUGAUGUGUGAUCUUUGAUGCUAUGAUGUUUGCGAAAUGAAUGUUAAAUGUUCCUAUUUGUCCGGUAAUGCCUUUAACCCUAGUCUGGCGACAGAUACAGAUUAGGGGUGUUACAUAAAACAUAUUUGGAUUAUAUAUUUGCAAAUAUAAGUAGACUUGAGUAUAAUUUAAAAUCCCAAAUUUUAGAUCACGUUGAGUUUGAAAAAGCAUAAAACAUAUUCAUAUAUUGUAUAAAUUCUACUCAUACCCAACUUAUCCUGACCUUUAAACUUCUCUAAUUUUGAAACUGGGUCAAUAUAUUUUCUUGACUUUCUUGCCAGAAUUUUUAUGAUGGUUGGAUUAGAUUUUGGGUGAAUCAUGGGAUUAAUGUAAGUAAAAGUAUUAUGGAGGUCCCAAUAUUAAUAGUUAAAUUACAUUUUGACACUUUGCUAAAAGAAUAAAUAAAUUAGUCCUUGUACAUUAGAUUAAAGAGCACAUUGGUCAUUUCUAGUAAAAUUUCCAUCUAUCUCUAUUGUUAAAAACUAAUAUUGCUGACAGAAUAAUCAAAUAAUUACGUGUGGUGCCAUGUGUACCUCAUUUUGAUAUACAAUAACCAAUUUUUAACAGUAAAAAUGGAUGAAAAUUUUACUAGAAAGGACCAAUUUGCUCUUUAAUCUAAUAUAUAAAAAAUAAUUUAUUUAUUUUAAGCGGAUGAGGCAAUACGCAAUCAAGUUCUUAAAAUAAAAAUCUUCUUAAUACUUUAACCAUCAUUUCUGUUAGGCAUGAGGAGUUGUAGAGCGAAAGCAGGCAACGACGGAGCCAAGUAGAGGCCCAGGGAGGCCAUGGCCCCACUAAAGUUUAAAUUUUUUUUUCAAUUUAGUCCUUUGUAAAUAUACUAUGGUCCUCCCAAAAAUAUAAGUAAGCUAUCCAAGGUUUAAAAUUUUUGUAAUUUCUCCUUUUUGUAUAUAUAUCAUAGUCCUCCUAAAAAUAUAAGUAAACUCCUCCCAAAAAUAUUUUUUGCACAUCUAAUUUUAACUUAACCCCUUAAGAUUAACAUCCUGAUUCCGUUGCUGGACGUAGUUCCAGUUUUCACUCUAAUAUUGGACCCUUCUUUUGUGCUGGAGUGUGUUUGACUUUCCAGAUUUUUUUUUUUUAAGGAUCUAAACUCAUACGCCAAAAGGGAAUGGCAAUAGCUUUCGUGACCAUGGCAACAACUAGUGGUGUGAUAAUGGUGGUGGGUAUAAUCACAAUAUUUCGUCUGAGUUUUAUGGUUUUAAUUGUUCCUUUGAAGUCUGUUUAUAUUUUAUUCUUAGUUUAUUACUUAUUAUUAAUAAUAUGAGCAUUAUCGUUUAUUUUUUUUAUUAUGAAAUAAUAAAAUAAAGAAAAGAGAAAAAAAAAUUCUAUUUUAAUUCAUGCUGUUGGAGCCUUGGAGAUUAAAGGAUAAAUUUUUCUAUGUAUAUUAAAUAUAAUAUUUUGUAUAUGAUACAUAUGUGAGACUUCUACAGCUAAGGUUAUGAUAACUCUUAUAUAUGUGUGUGAUAUUAUAUAAAUAGAUUCUAUGUCGUGCAACAUAUAUAAUUAUUAUUAUUUUAAAAAUACUACCACACAUGUAUUUAUAUGAAAAUUAUAAAUUUAAAGUAUAAAUAUGUGUUAAAAAUAAUAUUUAAUAAAUAAUAAAAUAUAUGAUUUGAAAUUAAAUAAUUAUUACUCGUGACAUAUGUACGAUAUUAAAAUAAAAAAAUAUAUUAAAUUAUGAUAAAACAAAAUUUAAAAAUAAAUAUAUCACAUAAACAAUACUAAAAUACUACACUUAUUAAACAAUGAAACAUAUGGUUUGGAACUAAAUGAUUAUAAUAACACAUGAAGUAUAUACGAUUUUAAAUAAAAAAUUAGAUUAAAUUAUGAGUAAAACGAAAUUUAAACACAUAAAUACAUCAGAUAAACAAUAUUAAAUGCAUUACAAUUAAUUAUCAUAAUUUUUUCAUCCAUUGUGAGUUAAGGUCGAGUUGACUCAUAACAUAUGUUGGUAAUGCAAAAUGAAUAAUCCCACAUAGGUUGAGAAAAAACUUUUAAGAGGGUUUAAAUAUAGCAUUGUCUUUUACCUUUAUAGAGUAAUUGGGGCUAAAUGUUAGAGGUGUGCAUGGGUUGGGUUUGGGCCAAGCCUAACUAAAAAUUUAGGUCUAUUUGCUAGGCUUGGCUUAGUUCAAAAUAUGGGUCUAAAAUUUUGCCUAAGCCCGGCCCAAAUAAAAAUGUUAAAAUUCGAGCCCGGCCCGGCCCGCCCAUAUUAAUUUUUAUAUUAUUUUUAUAUAAUUUUAAAAUAUAUAUAACCCUUCAACAAUACUAAAAACAUCAAAAUAAAUAUUUCUCAAUAAAUUAAAAAUAAAUUUUAAAAUAUAUGUAUACUUAAAUAACAAUAAAAUAGAUGCAAUUUAACAAGCAAAUGCAUCUAAAAUAAUAACAAAAUUAGCAAAUUUCUUUAAAAUAAAAAAAAAAAUAACAAUAAAAUAAGUUUUAUACAAUAUCCAAACAAUAAGAACAAAAUAGUAGCAAAAUAAGGAGAAAAUAAGAAGAAAAAUAAUAUUAAAAAAUAUAUUUUUUUUGGUCAUUUAGUGAAUUCAGGUCGGGCCGGGUCCGAGCCAAAAAUGCCUUACUCGAGGCCCGGCCCAUUUUUAAAACGGACCUUAUUUUUUUGUCCAAACCCAUUUUUCAAGCCUAAAUUUUUGCCCAAACCCUUCCACAUUUCGGGCGGGCCUACGGGCCGGGCCGGGCCAUGCACACCUCUACUAAAGGCCAACACACAUGUGUUGUUGCCUUGCUUGGUGUUUUUAUAAAAUCCUUUGACUGUUACAGAAAAUUCUCUAACUGUUGCAUAUUGUUGCACUUUUUGUGGAAAGUAACACUUCGUGUUUUACCAUUUUCCCCCUUCAGAAAAUAAUAUAAAUAGCAAGUCAUUCCAAAACAACAACUUUAUUCUUCUUUUCUCAGCUUGCCUGUUUUCAUUUCAGUUAUCUUUUCUAGUCAAAUUUUCUUACCAAAUCCUCGGUUUUAUUUCUCGACCUAUUUUUUCAAUUCCUUUCGAGAAGAUUAAUACCAAUUGUGUUCCAUCUUCUUAUACGAGUAUAGGAAUACUGAAAUAUUGUGUUAAUCUGGGGGGUGACGUCUAUUACACGAUUAUACUGGUCAGGGUGAAUUUGCUUCAAAGCCAGUGAUUCUUCCACGGCACAAUGAUUAUUUGAUUUAUUUACGUUCAAUUUAUUUUUCUUGAUAGUACUAACGAUUUCGUUUUACAGAAAUAUAUUUCCAACAAUACCAACUCAUUAAUAACAUUAUUAAUAUAUAAAAUUGAUGGAAAUAAUAAAUUAUGCAUAUUAAAAUAAAAAUAUAUAAAAUAAAUCAAAAUAAAACUUUAAUUGGAUAAUAAAUUUAAAAUUUUACUAAUCUAAUUGACAUAAAUUUAAAUCCCACAAUUGAUAUCAUACUUCCCUUAAUGUUGGCUUAAAGUCCAUACAUGUAUUUAAAGUGGUUACAGCAUGCGAAAUGUUGGAGGAUGAGUUUUCCAUGUAUACAUUUCAUUGUAAUGGCUAAGAAUAUCAGAACAUGCAAAUUGUUAAUGCAUAAUGAUGACAUUUGGUUAUUAUAUAAAUUUAUUAUUUCUUCAUGUAUUUUACAUUUAGGUUGUAUGUUCAUAUAUUAGCACAUAUAUUUUUAGCAGGACCGAAAUUAAAAUUUUUUUUAGGGGUUAAAAUUAAAUUGUAAUUUUUGCGAUAGUAAAAAUGUAAUUUUACCAUUUUAAUAGUCUAUAUCUUUAUAAUUUUUAAAGGACUAAAUUAAAUUUUUAACAUUUUUAGGAGGACGAAAGUGUUAUUUUAUCUUUAUUAAUUUAAAAUUUUUAAAAAAAUUUAAAAGACCUAUAAAAAGUCUAAAUAAAAAAAUUUCAUUUUAGGAGAGACGAGACUAUCCUAAUUCUUGGACUCUGUCCCAAAUAUAUAUGCAUUCUACAUUGAUAUAUGGUUUUAAAUUUUAAUGCAUGUGUACUUAUAUUAAGUUACAAUGUAAGUAUGUUUAAUGAGUAUGUAUGUGGCUAAUCAUAAUUUGUUGUAUUUGGUCAUAUAUUACUAAGGAUUUGUGCUUGUUUGACAUUUAUAUAUCCAUGAACUAUUUGAUCCAUAAAAAUAUUUUUUGAUUUUUACUUGAUAAUUCAUACACCAAAUUUAAUUUAAAAUAAUUUUCAAAUGUAUAAGGUAACAUUUCAGUAUUAAAAAAAUAGACAUGAUCGUUGCCAAAAUUACUCAAUACAAUUUUGUUUAUUGUUGUUAAUGUUGAAAUGUCUUUUUUUAAUUCGAGUGAAUACAAUUUAUUUUUAUUCUCACAAUAAAAAUAAAUUUUAUAUUUAAAAUAUAUAGAAAUAUUAAAUAUAUAUUAAUGAAAAUUCAUUUUUAUAAUAAAUUAAUUACAUGAAAAUUAAAUAUACAUAAUUUAAAAUAUAUAUACUUAAAAAAUUAAAAAAUAUUGUUGAGACAUUUUUCUUUUAGUACCUUGUCAAAUGCCAAUUGCCUAUUGCACCGGUAACUCAGAAAAACUGUCAUGUUUGGAUUAGCAAAUCUUGGUAACAUAUAUGUUUAGGUUGAGAUUUACUUGGUUGGGAUCCUUGUCAACCUAUCCUUGAUAUCCAAUCUACUUGUCCAUGGUAACUUGAAGACUUAUUAAGAUUGGAUCGAAGCAAUUGAUAUCCCUUAUACUAAGGAGAAUAUCGAAUCAUACCUAGUGAAGAAAAGAUAUCCUUAGGUGAUGGAAGACUUAUCUUAGAUUUUUAUGUAAUAUUUAUCUUACUUAUUUCAAAGGAUAACUGUCAGAAUUGAGAAUGUUAACAAGUCCAUACACAUAUAAAGUAUGCGAACUUGUAUAAGAUAAGUACUGAGUUGAGAACACCAAUUUUGUUCAGUGAGGAGCUUAUUUAAAGAGUGCAUUAUUUCUGUAAUAAUCAAGUGUUUUGCUUGGUUAAGAUUCCUAAGUUUUUAAGGGAAAAACUUAAAGGGAAGAUGUUUAGAUCUUAGGCACAAAAGUGAGAAGUCUAAAAUGGUGAGUGUUUGAACUUGAAUACACUUGUUGUACGAGGUGUUAAGAUAGUGAAUUUUCUCUCUCGACAAGACCCUGCAGAUGUAGGAAAAUCUAACUACAUAAACAUCUUUUGUCUUAUGAAUAAGGGUCAACAUAAGUUAAACAAGCAUCAUGCAAAGUGGAUUGAAUAUCUUGAAUCCUUUCCAUAUGUCAUCAAGUAUAAGAAAGGUAAAGAAAACGUAGUGGCUGAUGCCCUAUCAAGGAGGUACACUUUAUUGUCUUAUCUUGGUUCUAAGCUACUUGGGUUUUUUUUAUUUGAAAGAAUUGUAUGUUAAUGAUAAUGACUUUGGUAAUAUCUUUGCUGCUUGUGAGAAUGGAUAUUUUGAGAAAUUUUAUAGGUAUGUGGGCUUUCUUUUUAAUGAAGGCAAGUUAUGCAUACCACAAGGCUCCAUUCAAGAAUUGCUUAUGCAAGAGGCGCAUAGUGGAGGCCUCAUGGGACACUUUGGUAUAAGCAAUACACUAUCAACUCUACAAGAACAUUUUUAUUUGUCGCAAAUACGAAGAGAUGUUGCACGUGUCUGUGAGCAUUGUGUGACCUACAAACGAGCUAAGUCCAAAAUUCAACCUCAUCGUUUGUAUAUGCCGCUACCCAUACCUGAAUUCCUUUGGACGGAUGUAUCCAUGAACUUUGUCCUUGGAUUACCAAAAAUAAAAACGGGCAAAGACUCUAUAUAUGUGGUAGUUGAUAGAUUUUCGAAAAUGUCUCAUUUUAUUGCAUGUGCCAAGACUGAUGAUGCUGUUCAUGUAACUAAUCUCUUCUUUAAGGAAGUUGUUCGUUUACAUGGAAUUCCAAUAACGAUCGUGUCCGAUCGCUAUGCAAAGUUUUUAAGCCACUUUUGGAGAUCAUUGUGGGGAAAGCUCAGAACGAAGCUAUUAUUUUCGACCACUUGUCAUCCUCAAACGGAUGGACAAACAGAUGUGGUAAAUCGAGUAUUGACUACUUUGUUGUGUGCCAUCGUCUGUAAAAAUCUAAAGUCAUGGGAAGAAUGUUUACCUCACAUCGAAUUUGCUUGCAACCGCUUCGUCCAUAUUGCUACUAAGUUUUCUCCCUUUGAAGUAGUUUAUGGCUUUAAUCCAUUAACUCCCCUUGAUUUAUUGCCAUUGCCUAACAAUCAGUUUGUGCAUGUAGAUGUUAAGAAAAAAGGUCGAAUACGUUAAGGAGCUCCACCAAAAAGUGUGAGCUAAUAUUGAAGCCCAAACUGAGAGUUACGUUCAAAGGGCGAAAAAAGGAAGAAAACGAGUUAUCUUUGAACCUGGUGAUUGGGUCUGGAUUCAUAUGAAGAAAGAACGGUUUCCAGCUUAACGACGAUCUAAGUUGUUACCACGAGGAGAUGGUCCAUUCCAAGUUAUUGAACGGAUCAAUGAAAAUUCAUAUCGACUUGACUUAUCGGGUGAGUAUAACGUUAGUGCAAGCUUUAAUGUUGUUGAUUUGUCUCCUUUUGGUGCAGGUUCCGACUUGAGGACAAGUCGCUUUCAAGAAUGGGGAAUGAUACGGCCUUAGCUCGGGAUGUCUCUACCGAAUCCAUUGAGUUACCACAAAGGUCUAUUACUAGGUCACGAGCUAAGAAAUUUAAAGACAUAUUGACAAGCUACGUGGAACGAGUUUGGGAAGAACAAGAAGUUGAACCCAUUAAUCAUGCAUGGAUGCACCCCAUAGACGUUACUUGCAAUUUAUUGCAAGUAGAAUUUAAAUUUUAAUAAACCCAUCUUAAGUUUAAUAAAUGAGUUGCUGGUUUUAAUUCAACUCAUCUUAGUUUAUUUAUUUCAGUUUUUAUUGAACUUCAUUUAAUAAGAUGCUUAUUUAAUUAAUCUAGUUACUAGGAUAAUUUAUUGAAGCAUGAUUUCAAGUUUAUUUAAUUUUGCUUCUUUUAAUUAAACUAGUUGUUGCAUUACUUGAUGCCUUUGUUUCUAGUUCAUUUAUUGAAGUCAAGUAUUUAAUGUGAUUGAGUUUAAUUAGUGAUUAAUUGUGUUUAAUAAAGUUUAUUUUAAUGUGUUGAUUGCAGGUGCCCCUUCAUCUCACAACCGUUACAUUUCAAGGCUGUUACAACUUAAUGGAAGUGACUUUUCAAGGUUUUUUUUUUCGAUUACAAAGGAAGGGGCUGUUACAAAGGAGGUUUCAUACAUCAAUUAAGGAGUUUUAAGGAGCAUUUUAACACCCUUUUAAAUUCGACAGCAACCUCUUCACCUACCAGCUAAUUUUGUUCUUUCAAAUAUUAAAACAAGCAUUCAAAACACUAUUAACUAGCUGGUGUCUUUUCGGCUAGCCAAGGAACAUCUCAAGAGACAUUUUUUAAGCAAUCAAAGAUAUUUAUUCAGCUGAAUUAAAGUGAAUUCAAGGAUGGAGUUAAUUGUUACAAGAAUGCCAAGAGACUUGAGUUUAAUUUCAGUUUUAAUUAGCACAUUAAGAUGUGACUAUUCAGCUAGUUUUUCUAUACCUAUAAAUAUGUGUAACCAGCCAUUUUUUAAGAACGUUUGGACAUUUUAAUGAAAUUCUGCUCAUUUGGUGAGAAAUACUUUUCUCCAAUUUUGUUCAAAGGCUUGUUGGCUUAUCUACAAAGCUAGUGGCGUCAACCCGUUCUUUGCUUUUCCCGAACUUAUCACUUUCGCAAGUGUGGCGUUCGAACCCUAUACCGAGGUUCCUAUCUUUCUUGAUAGUGGGUCGAGGGUUUGUUCGAAUUUACAAACCUUUUCAAAAGCAUAUAAGUAUUGGGUCGACACUAAUUAGUGUUGGUUCUUGCUUGCUUCUUGAACGGUUUCUUUCCAUCCGUUUACCAUAUCCAAAACAUAAUCAACUUUUACCACUUAUUUGAUAACCAAAUAUUUUCACUUUCCAAUUAGCCAUUUUAUUUUUGAUCUUUUAAUCCCAGUUCAGCCUAUUUCAUUGAUUUAGUUAGAUAUCCAUUUAAUUGAACCAUACUUUCUCGUAGACGAUCGGGCAAUGUAAAUACGACUCGACUCAUCUUUUGAGGUGGAUCGUAUCAAAUAGUUUAAUAUAUAUAUAUAUAUAUAAAUUUUUAAAAAAAAGUGAGAUUAAAAGUUAAUUCAUCAUCACUAGUGAAUGCUCGGUGCUUAUGUGACUUUUUAUUCUGCAUAUCUCUAUGUGUGUACUUUAGUUAAAACUAAAUUACUCAAUGAACCAAAUUUGUUUGAUUAAUCAACUAACCACUGAAAUUAAUUUGAUUGGGUUCGAUUAAAAAAUUUACGAAAGUUUAAUUAUCAAUUAAUUCGGUCUAAAAACAUGUAAUUAACAUUAUUAACCCAUUAAACUAAAUUAAUAACAUAUUAUAUGUUUGUAAGCUCAUAUAUAUAUAUUAUGUAAGUCCCACAUAUAUAAUAUAUCUAUAAGCCCAAUAUAUUAACCACAUUUCCCCUUCUUCAUUCUCUUCAAGUUCAACAACCUUUUGUUUUAAGCCUUCAACGUAUAUAUCUUUUCCUUUUCCUUUUCAUUUUGAAAUAUAAUCACAAAUCAGACCUUUCUUUUAUUUUGUGUAACUUUGUGAUUGAUGUUGCAAUUUGAUGUUAGCUUUGCUUCUAUCUUGUGUUUGUGCUAUCAUUAAAAUUGUAAUAAUUACUUUGAUAUGUACGUUGAGUGAACGCUAAUUAUGUUUUUAAUUUAGUGUUGUCAUGAAUAUUAUUUUUAAUGUAAUAUUUAUUAUUAUAUAUUUAAUGUAAUGUAAGGUUUUUAAUUUAGGGCUCGUUUGAAAAGUGCUUUUGAAAAGUUUGGUUUAAAAUUUGAGUGUUUAGCAUUGCUGUAAAAAAGUACUUUUGAGAAAUAAAAUGUCCAUUUUAGUCAUGUUAUUAUCAAGUAACAAAUAUGCAUUUAAAUAAUAUUUAAAUUAGUUAAUAUUAUUAUAUUUUACUACAAAUAUAAAAAAAUUAUUAUAACUUCUUGUUAAUAUUUAAAUAUAUAAAAUAUAAAUUUUAAAUAUUUUUAAGCAAUAAAUAUUAAUUAUUUAUAAAAUUUAAUUAGAAUAUAUGAACUAUAUUUUAAAUAUUUAAAUAUAACUAUUAAAUAUUUGUAAUUAGUAUUUUAAAAAAUAUUUUUAUUUAUUUUUAAUUAAUGAUUUUAACACAUUUGUAAUUAAGUACCAAGAAAAAAAAGAGAAAAUACUAUGUUAUUGGAGGGGUGAAAAAGUAAUUAAGCACUAAAAGUGCUUUUGGGAGAGGAAAAGCUAAAAAUUUUAGCUUCUCCUUUUCACACUUCUAAAAAACUAAAAAUUUCAGCCAAAAGCAGCUUGUUCUGCACAGCUUUUCUUCUAAAAGUGCUUUUGGAGUCAGAAGUGCUUUUGAAAAGCAAUGCAGAACUAGCCCUUAGUGUUGCUGUUGUGUUAUUUGUUGAUUUUGGCUUGUUUUAAAUUUGUUUGAAAAAGAAAUUGUUAUAAGUUUGGGUUAACUGAUCGAAUUGGCUAAAAUUAAUUUGGUUUGGUUAAUAAUUUUUGAAAAAUUUUAAUUUUGUUUACGAUUAAGAGUUUUGAAACUUUGAUUAAUUUGAUUAAUGAUAAUUUGAUUCCAGUAAUAAUCAAACAAACUAUUUGAACAUUCCUAAUAAUUGAGCCACAUCAUUGUUGAUCAUCGUCAACAAACAAUUAACUGACAAAGGUACCAAUAUAAGGAAAAAAAAAGUAAUUUAAAUACCACUUUAACAGUUUUUUAGGUACCAAUAUGGAAAAGUGGAUAAAGUGUUUAGGCACCAAUUUGUCAUUAAAGCGAGAAAUAUAAAAAAAAUGCUUUUGAGUAAAAGAAAAAAAAAGUGAAUUUAAUUAUUUUAUUUUUUUAUAUUUUAAACUUUAAAUAUUUUUUAAAUUUUUUAGCUUUUAAAUUUUUAUAUAAAAUUUAAAUUAUUUAUUAAUAAAAUAUAUAAGAGAUAAAUGUAAAAUGUGAUAUAAGUAAAAUUAAUUGACUCGUUGCUAUUAAUGCUACCUUAAUAAAAAAUAUUAGAAUUUAACGAUGAAUUGUUAAAUUUAAUAAUAAAAAGUUUAAUAAAAAAAAUUCAGAUGAAAAUAGUUAUCACUUUAAUUGAGUUGGUGGCAUGGAUUAGUGAGAAAACACUAAUAUAUCAUUUCUUUCUUUUAAGAAAAUACUAUUAUUAAUAGAAACUAUGAACAAUAAUAAUACAAAAAUAUGACAUAUAAUACAGACCAUAAAUAAAUCACUACAAACUAAUACAUAAAUUCCAUGUCUUUUAAAUAAUUUCAAAAAAGAGGACAAAUUCACAGCAACUGCAACACUGGAAUAAUUUAGAAACAGAUUGGAGAUGUAUCAACUUGAUUAAAUCGCUAAAAUUUGCAUCCUAGCCUGACCAUCAUCAAAUCAAAUUGACGAUGAACACAGAACAACCAGGAAAAUACUACUAAAAAUCUCAAGAAAUCCACCACAUCCGCAUCAGUGAUGCACAAAAGAUUUAAAUCUUAGAUAGCCUAUCAUUAUCUCAAAUCUAUCAUCAUUACUAUACUUAAUAAUGAUAAAACCCUUUAAGAACAGUUCCUAUUAAAUUUAAUGGUGCCCUUAUAUUGAAAAAUCUCUAUACACACCAGAAUUUGACUAAAAAUUAAAAAUAAAAAUGAAACCAUAUAUGCUUUCAAAGAUAAUAGACUAGACAAAAUAAAAAUUACGAAACUGGAGACAAAACUACGAUAAUGUGGUUUGAAAUUGAAAACAAAAUAAAAUUACAAAAAAAUGUUGAAAAAAUUGGAACCAGCAACCAGUAUAAAGGCCGCUGCCACAUAUGAAAUAAGGAUUUAAUUUGAAAAAAUUGAGUGACUAGGACUUUUUUAUUGAAAGAAAAUAACGAAUACUAAUACACCGUUUCUUUUAAAUGAUAAUGGAUUGUAUUAUGAUCGUGAUUUUAUAACUUCAUAUUUUUACCAUUCACCUAUAAUCAUCUAACAUAACCUAAUAUUUAUAAUGGUAUGAUGAUGAGCAUAAUUACACAACAAGAGAAAGAAAGUUGAUAGAAGGUAGAGAGAAAGUUAAAACAGGAAAAUCUGAGGAUGGAAGAUUAUGCAUUGUCGUUUUCCUGCAUAAUCACCAGCAAAGCUACAAUGAAGGCAUAGUCCACCUCUGGAUAAACUUUUAUUUUGAAACAUUCUUUGCCCUUAUAGCUUCCCCAUGUGUAACUGUGCGUAACCUGCAUUUUCCAAGUGCAAAUCAAUCAUAAAAUGUUCCAUAUCCAUUCAUUAUCCACAUUAAUGAAAGAGCAUAUAUUGUAUACCUCAGCAAUGAUAGAAUUGCCUCUCCGGACUUUGAUAGAAAGGGAAGCAAGACUUCCGGUGACACGAAAAUCACAGGCAGCAUCUUUAUAAGGGCUUGCUAAGUGAACAUCCAGAUUGCUUUUUAUAUUAAAACCACCCGAUCGUUUCACACUGCACAGACAAUGCCUACUUUCUCCUUCAUGCAUUUGCCAUUCCUGUUUCCACGAUAUUGCUUGCUGAAAAAUCUUCCCAUCAUUACUCAUUUCAAUUAAAACAAUAAUUACAAAUUCAUACCAACCUUUUCCCGCAGAGUGACGACAGGUAAGCCUGCAGGAUCUUUCAUAACCCUUUUCUUCUGCAAGUUCCAAAUACCGCCGUCGACUUGUAGCAGAAUAUUUCCAGUGGUAUCGAAGACAUCGUAGUGUGAAUUGGAAAAUGAUUGUAUUUUCUUCUUGACGAGGAGUUCCAUUGUGUAAGGGACACAGAACCGAUCCCCGACAACCUUAAUCAUUUCAUCACUCGCCUUGUUUCUGAAUCUAUUCACAAACUAAACUGGAAACUCAUAAAGAGAAACACUGGGAAGUUGUAACCUUUAUUUCGUUUUCCUGGAAAAUGAAUUUCUUUUAAAUAUGGGAAACAAGGCAAAAUUGGCAUGACAUAUAUACAUAAACCAAAAAAAAAAAAAAGUACCCAUAAAGCUGUUUUCUUUCAUGAAUUUGACCUCUUUAACGUGGAAAACAAGGCUUUUGAAAUGAAAAAUUACAUUCCAAGCGUAAAAUCUUAGAAUCUAAUUAAGAAGUUGAAAAUGGGUGAAUAAAAGCAUACCUUUGGAUAAUCCAAGUUUCGAAUGAAAGUGAAGAAAACUUAUUAAAGAGGGGGGAAAAGCAAAUUAAAUUUUUGUUUAAAAGAAACAAAAUUCGGGUGAAGAAAACUUAUGAACAGUAAUUCUUAAGAUAGGAGAGUAAAAAAAUAACUAUAUUUAAAACCAUUUAUUAUUGGGUAUUUAACUCGUGAUGUUAAUUCACUUAGUUUUAUUAACACACCCAUUAUCUAGGCCUGCAUGGAAAAAAAAUAUUAGUAGCUUUUAAGAUUUUCCUUUUUGGUUUAAAAAAAAUCCUAAAAGAUAAAAAUAUCUUUAUAAAUUAGAAAGAAACGGCUAGGGGUGUUCAUGGGUCGAGUCGGGUUCAGUUCAGGUCUAAAUAUGAUAUUAAUAUACUUUAUACUUACUCAAGCUUGGCCCGGCCCAAUAUUUAGGCAUAAAAUUUUACUCAAAUUCGCCCAUAUUUGUAAAAGGUUAAUCCAAGCUCAUUUUAGGUCCAUCAUAUCAUUUUUAAUUUUUUUAAAAAUAUUUAUUUUAUUUCAAUAUUUAAUAUUUUUUAUAUAAUCAUUAACAUUAAUUUAAUGUUUACAUUAAAGUAGUAUUAUAUAUUUAGUGUUUUUUAAUGUGUAUUAAAUUACAUAAUAUAUUAAACUAACAUAAUAUAAAAUAUUAUAAACUUAAAACGGGCCGGGCCAAGCUCGGGGCCUUGAAUGUUCAAGCCCGAGUCUAACCCAUAUUUUAAACAGGCCUAAUUUUUUUUAUUCAUACCCAUUUUUCAAAUCUAAUAUUUUUAAUUAAAUCCUCUCAAAUUUUAAACAGGCAUUCGAGCCUAACUCAUAAACAUGUCUAGAAACCACUUUAGUUAUUAGUUUUGAGAUUAUUAUUAUUAUUAUUAUUAUUGUUUAAAGCUUCAUCCUUUUGAUCUUAUCACGCCUACGGUGUGAUGGAUCCCACGAGUAUUUUGUGUAUUUCUUUUUUACGAAAUUGAUCAUCUGGAUUUAUGAAAUUAAAUUUAAUUAUAAGAUUAUCACUGUCAUGUAUUUUUUUUUCUGUUUUGUGGUCUAUAUUGAGUAGAUUUGUCUAUGGCUCAGCUCGGUUUGAAGGUGCGUUUGAAGAGCAGAGGAUUUGGACUAAAAUAUAAGCUUAAAAAAUAGUUUUGUAUAAAAAAAAUGCCUGCUUUCCUAAUGGGUUAGGCUUUGGGUAAGUUUUUUUUUUUUUACCUCAAGCCCGACCUUACUUUGCAAAAAAAAAUGGCUGCUAUUUUUUUACUAUUUUGCCACUAUUUUUCAUUAUUUUGCUAUCAUUUUGUUAUUAUAUUGCUACUAUUUUGUGACAUUAUUUGGAUAUUAUAUAACUCUUAUUUUUUUUAUUAAUUUUACUACUAUUUUAAAAGUAUUUUCUUACUAAAUUACACUUAUCUUAAUGUUAUUCAGAUAUUUUUUUUAUUUUCUUCCAUUUGUUGGGAAAUAUGUAUUUUAAUGUUUUUUAGUAUAUUUGAUUUUUUAAAAUUUAUUUUUACAUAAAAAUAGUAUAAAAAUUUUAAUACAAAUGGGCCAGGCUUGGGAAAAUUUUUAAUCCCAUUUUUUAGGUCGGGCUCGAGAUUAGAAAAUGCACCUAAAAUUUUUAUUUGGCUCAGCUCAUGAAUAACUCUAAUUGAGAGUUUAUAGUUAUUGUUUUUAAUAAUGGUAAUUCUAAUAUUUGAAUCUACAAUUUUUUUUAAAUAUAAUAUAUUUUAGUAAUAUGCUCUAACACAUGUUUUAAAUGAAUGUAUUAUUAUGUGCAAGUAAACAUUUUAAAAUAAAAUUAACAAAUCAUCACACUUUUAUAACGUUAAAAAAUUUAAACCAUUUUAUAUGAUGGUUGCUAAAUUUAUUUGUUGUUAAUUUAAAUGAAUGUAUUAUUUUGGUGGUUUUGUGUUUGUUUGCCUGUUUUGAAAAGGUGGGUGGUGUGGGUUUCUGUUUUAAUGCGCCUCUUCAGCUGCUGUAGUUGAUGGUUGGGUAUAGAGGUGAUUAUGAGCUGGGUUGAGUUUGAGUUGGGUUUAAUUAAAAUUUUAGGCCUAUUUGUUAAGUUUAGAUUUGAUUCAGUCCAAAAAAUGAGUCUAAAUUUUUGUUCAAAUUUGACUUGGAUAAAAAUAUUAAAAUUCGGUUUCAACUUGUAUUAAUUUUUAUAUUAUUUUUUAUAUAAUUUCUUUUAAAAAAUAUAAUACAUCAAAAACAUUAAAACUAUUUGAAUAAAUAUUUCUAAAAAAAUUGAAAAUAAAUUUAAAAAACAUUAACAUAAGUGAAAUAAUAGUAAAAUAGUAAAAAAAUAGAAAAAAAGUAAAAAAACAGCAAAAAAAAAUGCAAUUAUUUUUUACAUAUUCAAGCCGGGGCCGGGCUAAAAAAUUCUUACCCGAGGCUUGGCUCAUUUUUUAAGCAGGCUUUAUUGUUUUGCUCAAAUUUAUUUCUCAAACCUAUAUUUUUACCAAAAUCCUCUCACUUUUCGAGUAAACUAGACGGCCUAGCUCAUAAGCAGGUCUAAUUGAAUGUUGUCUUAUUUUUUUUAUUAUUUUAGUAAAGAGCAGGAGUUAUUCAAAGAAAAAAAAAUAUUAAGUUAGUGAAAAACUUCAAAUACUAAAUUAGAAAAAUGAACAAGUUCAUAUAACACAAUGUUAAUUAAGUGUAAGCAUGUUACCCUCUCUACUACGUGGGUGGUAAAAAAAUUCUAUGUCUCAUAUUUUAGAAUUGUCCAUGCCUAAAUUUAGACCUAAAUCUAGAUAGAGAAUUUUUAUAUAUUAUCUUUAUUUAAGUUUUAUUUAUAUCGAAUUAAAAACUUGACAUAUUAUUUAAACCUAACCUAUAUAUUAAGUAGGGUAAUUCAAACCUAACCCUACAAAAAUUAAAGUAUUUUUUUUUUAUUUUCUCAUUAGAUUUUCCCGAUAAAAACUUUUAACAAGAUAACUAACAAUAAAAAUAAAAAAAAUAUUAUGUACUCUUCUCCUUUAUUAAAAUUUUAUUUUGCAGGCUUUUUCUUAAUAAAAUUUCAACGAUGCAUAUUUAUUCUUAAUAGAAUGACGUUAAACCGGUCAUUUAUUUAUUUUACAAAGUUGUUUUUAUUGUUUAAGUUCGGUAAGUUGUAUCUUUUUAUUACUAUUAUUUAUUAUAAGGGUUGAUAUUUGGUAUAUUCAUACUACAAUUUUUUAAUUUCACAAGUGUGAGUUAAAAAAUUACUGCAUGUCUUUUAUAUAUAUAUAUAUAUUAUUUUUUAUUAUAUCUUACACUCAUUUUUUUUUUAUUACAAAUACCCUACAUUCACUUGUCAUCACUCCAACCUACUUAUUGUUAAUAAUAUACCAAAAAUUUUCUUUUUAUUAUAUCAUUUAUAUAAAAAAUAAACAAAAUUAAUAAAAUGCAUUUUAAUUCAAAAUUGCAUUAUCAUAUACAAUAUUUUCAUGUGUAAAUGAUAUAAUUAAAAUUUUAAAUUAAAUUACUUUUAUAUAAAAUUAUUAUUUUUGUUUAUUUUAAAAUAAUUAAAUAUAGUUGAAUUAAUAUUAAAACCCUUUAUAAUAAAAUUUUAAAUAUAUCAAUAAUAGAUCAUAGAUAAAAGUGAUACCAUUAUAAAUUUAGGUUCUUUUUUAAAUAAAUUAUUGAAAAAAAUUCAAUUAUUAAUUAUUUAAUUUUUUAAAUAUGUUUCAUUUGUUUUUUUCCUCUAUUUUUUCAUUGUUUUUCUAAUUUAUUCCAAGCAUUAUUGAGAAUUGAUGAAGUUAUGAAGACGUGGAUAAUUCAGGAAUGCAUCAAAUGAAAAUUUAUCACAUGUAGAAGGCAGAGUAUCAAAAUUUCAUGAUCAAUUUAAGAGAAUUAAUAUAAAAUGAUUUAAAUUAAUUAACUUUUUAUAUAAUAUUUAUUUUUAAAAAAAUUAUAUUUAAUAAUAUAAUUUAUUCCAAAUAUUUUGUAUUUAUUGCUAGCCAUUUAAAAUUUGACAUUGUUUAAAAUAACCCACAAUAUUUGAUAUUUCUUAUGUUCGUUUUAUGAUUUAUAUUUAGUAUUCGUAGUUGUCCCUCCCAAAAAUAUCAUCUUCAAGGUUUGAACCUAAGUCCUUCUCUUGAGAGUGCAAUAUAACUUAGCAUUACACCUAACUAUUUUUUAGUUAAUUCAAUUGGUACUAUUUAGUCAUUCCUAUUACUUAUAUUUAGCAUAAAGUGAGAAAAAAUUUCGCUUAUUUUUAAAGAAGACUUAUUUUUUACAAUAGUUAUUAUUCAUCUUUCUAAUUUGAAGUUUAAAUCCAUACGAAAUAUUUUUUAUGUUACGUCUAACUAUUGUAAUAUAUAUAUAAUAAUUUUUGUUCUCAUAUUAUUAUUAUCAAAGGGCAUAAAAAUUUCAAACAUUUUAAAAUUGUCAAGUUUUAACCAAAUAUUUAUCUUCCUAAAGAAAAAAAUAAUACGACUUAAAUUUUAAUUAUUUAUAAUGAGAAGUUUCAUUUUUAUUUAUUAGAAGGAUAUUUGAGCACAUUUUUAAAAAAUGACAUUUUGGAAAGGUCAAAUUCUAUAUAAAGUCCUUAUACUAUGCAUUUGUUUCCAAUUUAGUCAUCUUCUAUAAUUUGAUAUUUCAAUUCCUUCUGCUAUUAGAAAUUUAAUCCCUUUAUUUUUUGGAAUGUAUAUUCUCAUUUAUGAGCAAAUUUUUUGUUAAUUCCAUCAAAUAAUUUGAUAUGGCAUUUUCCUUUAACAUGUAAUGACAUAACAUAAAAUACUUUACCUUUUUUGUAUAAUUAGACAAAUUUUAAUAUAUUAAAAAGGGGAAAAUGUGUAAUAUUUGGCUAACUUUACAAAAAUAGCAACAUGUUUGGAAAUAUAAGUGGGGGAAAAUUAUUUGACAAAACCUACUGAAAAAGAUUGAACUUAUAAUUAUAGUUAAGGGAUUAAAUCUGUCAAAAAUGCAUAUUACAGGCACCUUUUGUAAAAUUUUAACUUUUGGAAAAGUGAAAGAUCUAAAAUUCUUUGGUACGUUUCUCAUGGAAAUAGUCACCUUGAAAACCAGAUGAGGAAAAAGAAAGCACCAAAUAAUCCAAAACAAAAGCGCUAAAAAAAGUAAACCCAUUUCUUCUAUCCUCUCUAUUCCUCAAUUCCUUGAUUUUUUGUUCUAAAAACUAUCUGAAUUUAGAUUUUUUUUUAUUCUUUUUUGAAAAGAGAAAGGGAACUCUGUGUUUGAAACAUUGUUUACAUUGUUUUAUGGGAAAAUCAAUUGUUUGUACGACGAAAGGGCAAGACUUUGCAAAAGCAGUCCCAUCAGACAAACUUCAUACAGCAAAACACGUAAAACCCGCAUCGAGAAACAGAGUUUCUUGCCGCGAAAAGGCGGGGCGAAGUGGGGUCCGAGUCAACUCAGCGCGAGUCAAGCUGAAAGCAAUGGAUACCUGGGGUAACGACGACCGGAUUCCGCUGGCUCAGGUGGUUUCCGAGUUGGUAAAGGGAUGGUUUCAAGAGGCUCUUAAGGAGGCCAAGGCUGGUGAUACCAACAUGCAAGUCCUUGUUGGACAGAUGUAUUGCAAUGGCUAUGGUGUUCCUAAAGAUGUUCAAAAGGUCCUAUCUUUUUAUUAUUAUUAAAUUUGGUUUAUGGAAUCAACUUUUAUGUUUCUUGUAGUUGUAAAUGCUUAAAAAAGGGGUAAUCUGAUGCAUUUUGUUGCUUUUCAUGUUGGUAAUUUUUUUCCUUGCUGUUCUUUGUUUUCUUGAAACUUUUCAUGGAUUUAGUUCUUUUGUGAUAUAGCAAUUGUCUUACACAUGCUUUAAAAGGGCUAAUUUGAUUCAUUUUUCAUUUUUUUGUUGUUUUUCUUGCCUGUAUGAUUUAUUGGGACUCUUUAGUUUUAUGAUGUGUGAUUACUAACGGUCUCAAAUGUAUCAUAAAUCUCUCUAUGUUUUUUAUAUUUCUUCUAUUGAUAAACUAUUUUCACUCAUUGAAAUCCGAAACUUUACUGACCCUCUAUCAAACCUCUUGCAUUUCUCUACAAGAAAAAGGUGCUUCAUGUUACUGAAUUUGUUUCUCUAUUGGUGCUUAAUGAUACCUGAAAGGUCUCCAUGGUGUUUUCAAAUGUUUAAUUUGCUAAUAGACUACUCUUCCUUGCUGACAUUUAUGAUGCUUUAUUGUUCGGAUACUUUCAUGUAUUGUGCACUUGUUGUGAACUCCGGAAUCAUGACGGUAUUAGCUCACUAAUCGUUUCUUCUGAAAUUAGGGGCGUGCUUGGAUUAGUAAAGCUUCAAGGAGCAGAUCUUCAGUAUGGAAAGUUAGUGAUAAGCAUCCAGGUACUCUCUGUGUGUGUGCUUUUGUGAAAGUAGGGUUGUUUCUGCUUUCUAAAACGAUCUUUCUUCGGUUUCCUUCAGGUUAUAAUGCUAGUGACUCCGAUUCUGAUGAAUUGAGGGAUGAUGCAGAAUAAGUUUUGACCUGUAUUCGUUUUAAAAUCAUCCACAAAUAUGUAAGUUGUUUAUUGAUUGUUAAUAUGCUUCUUUACCUCUGCAUUACGAAUUUGCAGAUUUUUCCAAAAUGCCAUAUGUUAUAUACAUAUUAGUUCCCGAAGUUUCUUGUGCAUGAAAUAGUAAUCCUUUUUUUGAUUAAUACCGAUAAUAUUGAAUAUAAUUGCAGAUCUUACAGUAUCAGGAACGUAUACAGUGUUGAAUACCAAGCUACUCUAUCCGUUUUACCUUCUGCAAUGUAUUCUAAGUCAUGCCUCUUUAACUAGCUGCAUUUCCUUGCCAAUGGAGAGAUGAUCCCCUAUUUUUUUUGUCAUUUCUUUAACAUCUUUAUUUCACAAAGUGUUUUUAUAUUUUGCUAUUGAGAUCACAGGUUGUUGGCUUUUAGAUGUUUGUUUAAGUAUUUCUAUUAGAUGAACUUCACCUAUUGAUGCAGAAGAGUAUCAUAGAUUUGUAAGAAUCAUAUUCAUAAAAUAAAAAAAAAAUUGAUAUAAAGUUAGAACACUUUGUUUAAUGUUUGAUCAAAUUUUUUACAAUUUGCAACAAAUUAAUUAGGGUAACCCUUUAUUUCUUUAUGCUGGUUUAGAUAGAUGGUCACCUCUUCUAUGAGGGAGGGACUGUGUCAUCUGCCUUGUCGUUUGUCUUUCCUCCAUUCCCAUGGCUUCUCAGGAUUUGAUGUAGCCCAUAAACCAACUCUCUUCGCUCGAGCCUGUUUUUCCCACUAGUUUUUAUACAAAUACAUGAUGUUCAGAAUUCACAGACUAUGAUUUUAACAGACAGAAAUGGUUUAACAACCGGGUCUCAAGACGUCUCUCUCAUGCCGUCAAUGUACCGUCCUCUGUAAGCACCUAUAUGGGCAAGGACUCUCUUUGAAUCCUUAAGAGGCAGGUAGGUACUUAAAGAAAACGAUACCUUUGAUGUAAACAAAAACUGGUGGUGACAUUGAUAGCUGAAUUUCGACGUGGGAAGACAUCUGAAACCCUGGAUUGUUACAGUUGGUUACUUACAGUUGCAAGCUCUACGCGUUGGUCGUAAGCUGAGUAAUGCCAUGCGAGCCCCUUUUUCAGCAUUACUUCCUGUUUGGAAACAAGAUUAUUAGAAAAAUCUGAACUUGUUCUUAUGAGGUAAACCGGGAGAAGAAUGUUUUAUAUGAAGAAAAAAACCUGAACAAAUUUGCCAUCGCAGUAUAUAUCACCAACACAGCGGCCAUAUUGGUCUUCAUCAUAGACAAGAACUCGUAAACAUUUCCCCUGAACAAGCUUAACCAACUCUUCUUUUGCUUCUUUACCGUAUGGCAUCGAACUCUCUGGUGCAUCGAUUCCCCUGUUUCAUUGCACUGUCAUGAUAUUUAGCUGAUGGAAGAUAGACUUUCAAGAAUGGACUAAUGUUACCUUAGCCGGAUUCGAUACUUUCGAGCAAGGAUCUCUUGAUUCUGAAGAUUUAAGACCCUGGAAUUGUUAAAGAAAAUGGAUUAUUAGUUACCAUUAUAUAUGAAUCACUCAACUGAAUCUGAUCGUCUAUGGGAGAUUAAAGAGUUUGAACCUGUAUCCUGAAUCAAUAAUUUUCUUGUGAAGCUCAUCAGCUUUUGUAUAGUUCUUGGCAGCACGGGCUCUCGAUCUUUGAUCAGCUGCCGAUUGGACAUCUCGAGGUACAUUCAAUGAUUCCCUGGGAUCUGUAGUACUUACAUACACUGUUAUGGUAUCUCCAUCAGGUACUGCUUUGGUGUCCACCUAAUUUAAUCAAAGAGAAAGUUAGUUUGAAGCUAUAUUGCUGAGAAACAAAGACUUGAAGUUUCAAGAAAGACACAGAAUACUUACUGGUAAAGUCUGCAAUUCAAACUUAACUCCUUGAGGCAAUGAUGUUGUGGCGCUGGCAGAAGACUGCUGAGGAAGACCAUAGUACGCUAAUAAUCCCUAAAAACAGUUAAAAAAGAACAAACAAUGGAUUCAUUUCCCAAUUUUAAACUAAUUGGACUUGUAAGAUUUAAUGGUGUUUGCUGCAUCAUUCUACCUUAACAUCUGCCUUUUGGUGUCUCUUCAAUGUCUGAAUGACAAGGCUUGAAGCUUCCUCAGGUGUUUUUGGUGGUGGUUUUGCUUCUCUCCAAGCAUCUAAUAGCUUUCUAUACCUUUUCAGACAGACCAGAGCCACAUCGUAAUUGUUCAAAAUUGUUCGUAAAUAAUACUGUUAAAUUACUUACCAGUUAGCCUGAGCUUUCUUGGAUGAAACGACGUGAUAACUUAGCCCUUCAGGAACCUAAAAACAAAAUUUGGAAAUACAAAUAAAGGUGAAUGAUGAAAAUCAAACUAACCCAGAUUUUAUUUUUUAGCCAAUUAGGCUGAGUCAUAUCUCAAUUAUGGGUUCAUCACCCUUCACUUUUAAGGUAAUGAAAAACAUGAGAGAAAAAAAGAUACCUGAGAGGUGAUAUCAAAUUGGAAGAGAUCAUGGGAAAGAGCUGAAACUCCAUCCUUGCCUUGGGAGUCACCAGCUGUGGUUGGCUUGCAGCAAUGGCUAUACAACAAUCUCAGAGCAUUCCCCAUCUUCAAAUUCUAUCAAAUCUAAUCUUCUUUUUUCUUUUCCUGUUUUGAACGUAGCAGAGAUUCAUGACGGGAGGGAGGGAGCCUUUAACAAAGGAACGACUAAGGUCAUUGAUGGAAACGUGGCGAGGUAUGAUUGGUGGAUAAUGAUUAACUAUUUGUUCGGUUUUUUUGUUUUACUAUGAAGAUGAAGAUCUAUGAGCCAUACGCGGUUAAACUCGAAAGUCAACCAUUUUUUUUUUGUCGUAUGUUGUAAGUAACGUUUGCGUAUGAGAUAUUGCUCGGCGUAAAGCCCGGUCCAAGCUCAUGGGCUGGUUGUGCUACAUGUGGUUUUAAUUUCUAAUACAAAAAAAAUUUUAAUUCAUGCAUAAGUUCUGGAUUUUUUUUUCAAUUAAGUACUAAUGUAUGCAUAUGAAAUAUAUGUGGUUGUGUUAUAUGUAUAUAAUAUUUCUACAAUAAAAUUUGUGAAAAUUUCAAUCACAACUAACAAGUAAUAAGCUAGCUUUCUCUUAUCCCCAAUCUCCAUGGACAAUGCCAAGAGCUUCCAUGAAGAAAAAACCUUAGUCAGAUUACUUGUUAAAAGUUACAACGGCCAUUGAUAACCAUUUCAAGCUUCUUAUACGUGCUAACAAGUAAUACGUCGGCAAUGGGUGAAGAUUGAAUAGGAAAUCAAGCUAGUUUGAGAUGAUAAAUCUUCAAAGAGUGUAGAUAUGCAGGAUGAAGAUAUAGUUGGGUAUUUAUAUCUAGCAUUCUCAUUGUUUUUUUGAACAUAGUAGUAAGCUAGAACUAAUCAUGAGUCGCAUUUGGCUGGAUCGAUACAAAAUUUUAAGUUAGUUUUUAGGUUCAAGUUCAACCCGGAAAAUAAGUUUAAAAUUCUACUCAAGUUCAACUCAGAUUAAAAAUGCUAAACCAAAGUUCGACUUGGUCUGCCCGUAUUAAUUUUGUUAAGAUUAUUUUUUAUAUAAAAAAAUUUAAAAAAUAUAAUAUAUGAAAUAACUAAAAACAAUAAAAUUAAUGUUUCCCAACAAAUUAAAAAUAUAUUUUUUUAAAAAAAUUAUACUCAAAAUAACACUAAGAUAGCUUCAACUUAGCAAACAAGUGCUUCUAAAAUAGUAGCAAAAUUAAUAGUAAAAUAAGAGUUGUACAAUAUCCGAACAAUAAUAGCAAAAUAGUAGUAAUAUAAUAGUGAAAUAGUAGUAAAACAACAACGAAAUGGCAACAAACAACUGAUUCGGGUUAGGACGGGCUCAAGCAAAAAAAUCCUACUUGAGGCCUAACUUGUUUAGAAAACGAGUAUUAUUUUUUGUCCAAACUCAUUUUUUGAGCUUAUAUUUUUGUCUAAACCCUAUCAUUUUUUGUGCUGGUGGCUUGGCCAUAAUCAAGUCUAUAGUAAACUAGCCUACCUAAUUUAUUUUGUAACCUCAAUUGCUCAAGGUCCUUUUUAACAAGUGGUUGAGUCUCGAUAACUACUUGUUAUGACAAAUGACUUUAUUCAUUGACUAAAAUUAGAUAGGCCAGAACUCCGUGUGUUGGCUUGAUAAUCAGGAUGUUCACCGUUGCAAAUGUGACUUGAGUUCAAGUCACGUUAGUUGCGUUGCUGUUAGGCUUUUACCCUUCUCCUGUAAUUAAAAACAAAAUAGGCAGAUUACUUAAGACUUCAUUGGCUGAAACUUUUCACAAUUUGAUUCUUUUGCUUUUCAAAAAGUAUAUUCGAUUAAUCGUAUAUAUUUUGAUGUUUUUUUAUGGUUAAACAAAUAUUCUACAUUUUUUAGUCUAUUUUAAAUGUGCUUAAUCUUUGUCCAAUAAUAUAAAAAUGUCACAUCAAAUACAUAUUUUAAUUAAAUAAGAUAGUUGGAUUAUUUGAUGAAAUUAAUGAAAAAAAAAAGUUGAUCUAAAGAUUAAAUCAGGGGUGAAAAAAAAGUCGAAAUUAAAUUGUAUAUUUUUACGAUAGUAAAAAUGUAAUUUCACCAUUUUAAUAUCUAUAUCUUUAUAAUUUUUAAAGGAUUAAAUCAAAAUUUUAUCAUUUUUAAGAAAGCCAAAAUAUAAUUUUACUUUUACUAAUUUAAAUUUUUAUAAAUUUUAAAAGGGAUCUAAAUGGAAAAGUUUUUGGAAAAGUAAAAACCUAGAAAUUGUCAAAUGUGAAAUUUAAAUUUCAAUAUUCCUUUUUUUUAAAACUAAAUUUGAUUAUUAUUUUCUUUAAAAGAGUUAAAUUAUUUUAUUUUUUUUAAUAAAAAUACUGAUUAAAUCAUUAAUUUUUUUUAAUGAUUUUGACAUGACAAUUCGCAUAAUAAUUUAUGUAAUUACGUUGACAUGAUAGUAAUUAUUUCAUAUGUUUAUAAAAUUUCAAAAAAACUAAUACAAAAUAUAUGUGAAUUGCUGCUAAUGUGAAAUUUAAUUAAAAAAAGAGAGAGUAGGGAAUGGGCAAUAGCAAGAGGUUGGGUGAGGGAAAAAAGGUUUAAUCAGAAAGCCUCUUUCCCUCUUAAGAUAUGUUAAGUAAUGAUGUAAUCGUAGGCCAUGCAUCGAAAGCUGAACAAUGACUAAGUAUUAGCCAAAUAUUUGGUUGCCUGAAAAUGUAAAAGGAAAAGUAGUGAGAAAGAAAGUGCUAAAAUAUUGUAGUUAAAAACAGUUGGUGAAUGGUGGCUAAUGAAAAAUCGUAAGCAAGCUCCAUUCAUCUCAAAACCUACUCUCCGUAUUCUUCGUAUCUUUUCAUCCACCCUCUUCAAUUCUCCACAUUUCCCUCCUCCAGCAUAAACAAAAAGGUUAAUGUUGAUCAAGGCCAAAAGCCAAAACAAACCAUGGGUGAUUCAUCUCUCAAUGAUUUGAAACCUGAAUACAGGGUCGAUGGAUCAUGUUGGAAAUUUGUUCCAGUUAUUUCAGAAGGAUUUUUUAACCAGAGACCUCGUGACAUUUUCAGACAUCAUCUCAUUCUCUUACAACUUCAAUUAGCUGUCAUUUUCACCCUUACUGCCAUCAUUCAUUUCUUUCUUGGUCGCUUCUAUUUGCCUCGUCUUAUAUCUGAAGUGCUGGUACUCACCUCUGAGCUUAUGUGUCAUUUUCAUUUCUUUUGCAUAUAUAAGAUGUUGUACUUGUUUUGUUUUGUGAAUAUGACAGGCAGGGGUAAUUCUUGGACCGACUGUUCUUGGUCGAUUCUUUCCGGACAUAUCGGCAGUUUUAUUCUCCGAACAAUCGGUGAAAGUCCUGGCUACAUUGACACGGUUCGGGUACUUGUUUUUCAUAUUUUUGAUUGGUGUGAAGAUGGAUGUAAAUCUAAUCAAGAAAUCAGGUAAAAGGGAAUGGACUAUAGGCACCAUGGUGAUGUUAUUCCCCCUUCUGGUCACUGUUAUGGUUGGGAGACACAUAAGCAUAGUGGUGGACAAGGUGGAUGCACAAAGCGCCCAGUACGAGGUUUCGUUCUUCACUGGCGUACUAAUGCUAACCUCAUUCCCUGUGGUAGCCAUACUUUUAAUGCAACUCAAGAUCAUUAACUCAGAGUUGGGACACCUUACAUUGUCAUCAGCAUUGAUUAGUGACAUGGUAAGUUUAGUAAUGGUAAAUAUAGGUAACUACAGGGUAAUAAUGUUAUUGGCAUCGUUACGUGUAGCUCUCAAGUCUCUGUUCCUCGUUGCCGUCCUUAUCGUGUUUAUCCUAAUGGUUUUACAACAAAUGUUAUACUGGAUCAUCAGAAAAACUCCUGAAGGAAAGCCUGUCAAAGAUGCUUACAUUUUCUUUGUUGCUAUAGCAUUACUAGUUGUUGCAAUAGUUGGUGAAAAUGUUGGACUUCAAUACAUGUAUGGUCCUUUUAUACUAGGCUUGACAGUACCAACAGGACAUCCCUUAGCUUCAACUCUGAUAGAAAAACUAGACACUAUUGUAUCAGGUUGGAUGCUGCCACUUAUGUCGACUUAUUGCGGAUACCGAUCAAAUCUAUGGAACCUCAACAGACUACCUCCUUAUUGGAUAAUAUUCGCAGUAACUUUCGGUUUUUUUCUGAAAGUAGCCUGUGGGUUCAUUCCUGCAUUUUGUUUCAAAGUGCCUUGUAAGGAUGCUACAGCAUUGGCAUUGAUGUUGGCUGCCAAAGGCAUUGUUGAAUUAGGUACUUUUGCAACCAAUGCAGACAAGCAGGUACUCCCUUCUAGGAAUUGUUUUAAAGCACUUUUUUUCCUUUUUCUUUUUUUGUAAUUUUCUUUUUGCUGAUAAGCCAAUGCUGUUUUGUUUCAGUCCACCGUUACUCAAGAAUUCACCUGGGCUGUAAUAAUUGUAUUCAUUUUCGCAGCACUUGUGCCGAUACUUACCAGAAAGCUUUAUGAUCCAUCAAAGACAUACGCAGGUUACCAGAAAAGAACCGUGUUGGACUCUUCCAUAAACGAGGGUGUCCGAAUGCUAGCCUGUGCUCAUAGACAAGAUGAUGCAUUGUCUGCGAUCAAGUUACUUCAACUUUCAAAUCCUAGUACCGGAAGUCCCUUGUCGGUUUACGGGCUUUACUUGGAAGAACUAGUGGGUGGAGCGAGUCCUCUCCUUCUUAAUCAUCAAUUAGGCCAAAGGAGUCCUAGCGAUGGCGGUCGUUGGCAACCAAUCAUCGAUGUUUUCAAUUACUUUAAGACCCAAAGUAGUAAACCAACUCAAGUGCACGUCUACACAGCAAUAUCACCUUCCUCAUUGAUGCAUGAAGACGUUUGUUGGGUUGCCUUUGAUAAUUUAGUAGCUUUAAUAAUACUUCCAUUUCAUAGGAAAUGGAACAGGAAAGGGAAACUAAUCUCUGAUUCCAAAGAUUUGAGGGACUUCAAUACUGAUGAAGUUGGUUCAGCAUGCAGCAAACUCGACAGCAUGCAGGCCAUCAAGACCAAGUCAUGCAGGAGCUGCUGGAACGAGCUGAACUAUUCCUAUUUUGUUCAACUUGUAAUCUUAAGUUAAUGUAAUGUACUUUAGUUCAUUUAGAACUAUGUUAGGUUUAUGAUUGAUGUAUUUUGAUGACAAUUAAGCUGUUAAGUCAGCUUUGUUUAAGUGUGCAAGCUUAGUUUUUCAAGUUUUAAUGUAUUAGUGGUAGUAGGUGAUGAUUAGGUAUCAUUAUGCAGAUUUUGACAAGCAAAUUGCUUGGUUUUAUGUAUUGGCAUUAUGCCAUUGUUCAACCAAUGAAUGAAAUCAGUUUUUUGUUCAUCAAUUUUCCUCUCCAUUUUCUUAGCUUUUUCUUUCUUUCUUCUGGCUUGAAUUCUCUUGUUUGCUCAGCAAGUCUCGAGACUUGGUUGACAAGAUAUUGCUGAGUCUGCUUGAUUCUAUUGUUGCACCAACAAUUGGUAUCUAGAGCCUAUUUCUUAAGGGAUCUGUUACUCAAUUCCAUGGCUUCAUCAAGCUUUUCACCAGCUGCACCUCAAGUCUUCAAUGGAGAAGGCUAUCACAUAUGGGUGGUCAAAAUGAAGACCUACCUGCAGGCUUUCGAUCUGUGGGAGGUGGUCAACUUUGAUGUUGAACCAGAGCCACUUAGAGCUAAUCCAACAGUGGCUCAAAUCAGGCAGCAUGCUGAUGAAAGGACCAAGAGGCACAAAGCUAUGUCUUGCAUCCAAAACUCAGUGUCUGAUGUGAUUUUCACAAGGAUUAUGGCCUGUGAAUCACCAAAACAGGCCUGGGAUAAGUUGCAGGAAGAGUUUCAAGGGACAGAGAGGACAAGGCAGCAACAGUUGUUAAACUUGAGGAGAGAUUUCGAGAAUUUGAAGAUGAAGGAAGAAGAAACUGUCAAGCAAUAUUCUGACAGGAUUAUGGCUGUGGUUAACAGCAUCAGGCUCCUUGGAGAGCAGUUCAAUGAAGCUAGAAUAGUGGAGAAGGUUAUAGCAACUCUGCCUGAGAGGUAUGAGGCAAAAAUCUCAUCUCUCGAGGACUCAAGGGAUCUGUCCACCAUCUCCCUGACAGAGUUGAUCAAUGCUCUAUAUGCUCAAGAGCAGAGGAGAGCAAGCAGACUGGAGGAGCACCAAGAAGGUGCCUUUCAGGCAAGAGCAAAUACUGCCUACAAAGGCAAGAAGGCCUGGAGAGACAAGCCAAAGAAUGAUGCUGCAAGGAGAGAAGGUCAGACUUGCAAGCACUGUAGAAAGGCUGGUCAUUCAGAAGAAAAAUGCUGGUUCAAUCCAGAUGCUGUGUGUCAGCAUUGUAAGAAGAAGGGUCAUGUUGAGAGAGUCUGCAAGAGUAAGACCAAAUCGAGGCAGAAUCAGUUUCAACAGAUGAAAGCUGAGGCUCGAGUAGCUAAGGAGGAUAGUGACCAAGAGGAGCAAGUCUUUGCUGUUUCAUGCUCAGCUGCUCAGGAAAGGUCCUCAUCUGGUUGGCUUCUAGACAGUGGAUGCACCAACCACAUGACACCUGAUGCUGCAAUCUUCAAGUCUUUAGACAGAAGCUGCAGAACUAAAGUCAAGAUAGGAAAUGGUCAUUUUAUUCAAGCUGAAGGCAAGGGUGAUGUGCUGAUAUGCACCCUUACAGGUACCAAAGUGAUUUCAAAUGUGCUGUUGGUGCCUGAAAUUGACAGAAACCUGCUCAGCAUAGCUCAGUUGCUGGAAAAAGGUUAUUCAGUUGUGUUUAAAGACCACCAGUGCCAAAUCAGUGAUCCAAGUGGAUCCAAACUGAUGGCAGUCCCUAUGGCUGAUAAGAACUUUGUGGUUGACUGGACAAAAAAGUCAGACAUUGCCUAUACAGCCACUUCAGAUGAAUCCAAGCUGUGGCAUCAAAGAUUGGGACAUGCCAACUUCAGAUCGAUGGCUCGAAUGGUCAGAGAGGACCUGGCUGAAAAUUUCAUCAACUCAGUGGACCAUGAUGAUGUAUGUGAUGUAUGUCAGCUAGGAAAGCAGGCCAGACUCCCAUUUCCCUCGAAUCAAGCCUGGAGAGCCUCUGAAAAACUCCAACUGGUGCAUACUGAUGUGUGUGGCCCUAUGAAGACUGAGUCAUUAAGUGGAAACAGGUAUUUCAUACUGUUCAUUGAUGAUUUCUCGAGAUAUUGCUGGAUUUACUUUUUAAAACAGAAAUCAGAAGUGGCCUCAGUGUUUUGGAAGUUCAAGACUGCUUCUGAGACUGAAACAGGCUGCAAGCUGAAGACCAUAAGGUCUGAUAAUGGGACUGAGUACACCUCAGCUCAGUUCCAAGCCUUCUGUGAUAAGGCAGGCAUCAAACAUCAACUUACCAACACAUAUACACCUCAGCAGAAUGGGGUAAGUGAAAGGAAGAAUAGGAGUUUGAUGGAUAUGGCCAGGUGCUUGAUGAUUCAGAAAAAUCUGCCUAAAGCACUAUGGGCAGAAGCAGUUAACACUGCAACAUACAUUCAAAAUAGACUUCCAACCAAGGCUUUGGAUCAAAAGACCCCAUUCGAGGCCUGGUUUAGCUUCAAGCCAUCAUUGGCUCAUCUGAAGGUCUUUGGAUGCAUCUGUUAUGCACAUGUACCUGCUGUUAAAAGGGACAAAUUGUCUGAAAGGGCUCGACCUGGUGUUUUAGUGGGGUAUAGCACUGUUAAGAAGGGCUAUAGGAUUUUAGAUCCUUCAACAAACAAAGUGUCAAUAAGCAGGGAUGUGGUAUUUGAUGAGAGGUCAUGUUGGAACUGGGAAAGACAUGAACCUGAAGAAGUUUCUGAAGAACUUGCAGUAGACCAAGGUGAGCCAGACCAAAAUGUCCCUGAAAUGGAUAUUGAUGAUGAACCAGUCAGAGGAACAAGGUCAUUGGCUGAGGUUUAUGAAAGGGCUCAUGUAGCCAUAGCUGAACCAAGCAACUUUGAAGAGGCUGAGGCUCAACAAGGGUGGAAGCAGGCAAUGGCUGAGGAGAUCAGCAUGAUUGAGAAGAACCAGACCUGGAAAUUGGUUGAAAGGCCAGUCAAAAGGAAGGUGAUUGGGGUGAAAUGGGUGUACAAAGCCAAGCAGAAUGCUGAUGGUACCUUGAACAAGCUAAAAGCAAGGCUAGUGGUCAAGGGGUUCAGUCAAAGGUAUGGCUUGGACUAUUUGGAGACCUUUGCACCAGUGGCCAGGCUCGACACCAUCAGACUGCUGAUUGCCUUAGCAGCACAGCUCGAAUGGAAGAUUCAUCAACUUGAUGUGAAAUCAGCCUUUCUGAAUGGUUUCUUAGAUGAAGACAUCUAUGUUGAACAACCACAAGGGUUUGAAAUAGCUGGCAGAGAGCAUAUGGUCUACAAAUUGAAGAAGGCCCUAUAUGGCUUAAAACAGGCUCCAAGGGCCUGGUACAGCAGAAUCGAUGGCUACUUGACUGAUCUGGGAUUCAAUCGAAGCAAGAGUGAGCCAACAUUGUAUGUCAAGAAGCAAGGGACACAAACACAACUCAUUGUGUCCCUAUAUGUUGAUGACCUGCUGGUGACAGGAGGAGAUCAAGCAGUGCUGGUUAAUUUCAAGACCAAGAUGCAAGAGGUGUUUGAAAUGUCUGAUCUUGGGGAGAUGUCCUAUUUUCUUGGAAUGGAGGUGACUCAAGCACAGAAUGGGAUAUUUUUAAGUCAGAAGAGCUUUGCCACAAAGAUUCUGACCAAGUUCUCCAUGCAAAACAGCAAACCAACUAAAACACCUGUUGCUGUUGGAGAAAAACUAUCGAGCCAAGGAGAUUUUGAGAAGGUAUGUGAAACUACCUACAGGAGUCUAGUUGGUUGUUUGCUAUACUUGACUGCCACUAGACCAGACAUAAUGUAUGCUGUAGGAUUGCUCUCAAGGUUCUUGCAUUGUUGCAAUGAGAAGCAUUUCCAGGCUGCCAAGAGAGUGCUCAGAUAUGUCAAAGGCACUUUGGACUAUGGCUUAAGGUACAGCAGGAAAGGAAAUCUAAAUUUAGUUGGGUACACUGAUAGUGACUGGGCUGGAUCGAUAGAUGACAUGAAAAGCACCUCAGGGUAUGCUUUUAGACUUGGUUCAGCCAUGUUCUGCUGGAGCUCGAAGAAGCAAAGUCUGGUGGCACAAUCUACUGCUGAAGCAGAAUAUGUGGCAGCAGCAAGUGCUGUCAACCAAGCCAUUUGGCUUAGGAAAAUCCUGACUGAUUUGAAUAUGGAUCAAAUGGAAGCAACAGAGAUCUUCUGUGACAAUCAAUCUGCAGUAGCAAUUGCUAAAAAUCCAGUGUUCCAUGGAAGAACAAAACAUUUCAGCAUCAAGUUGCAUGUUGUUCGAGAAAUGGAGCAAGCUCAGGAAGUAAAGCUGAUCCACUGUAAUUCAGAGGAUCAACUUGCUGACAUUUUAACCAAAGCUCUUAGUGUCACAAGGUUUGAAUAUCUAAGAAAGAUGCUAGGUGUUUGCUCCAUGCAAACCAAGGAGGAGUGAUGAAGUUGGUUCAGCAUGCAGCAAACUCGACAGCAUGCAGGCCAUCAAGACCAAGUCAUGCAGGAGCUGCUGGAACGAGCUGAACUAUUCCUAUUUUGUUCAACUUGUAAUCUUAAGUUAAUGUAAUGUACUUUAGUUCAUUUAGAACUAUGUUAGGUUUAUGAUUGAUGUAUUUUGAUGACAAUUAAGCUGUUAAGUCAGCUUUGUUUAAGUGUGCAAGCUUAGUUUUUCAAGUUUCAAUGUAUUAGUGGUAGUAGGUGAUGAUUAGGUAUCAUUAUGCAGAUUUUGACAAGCAAAUUGCUUGGUUUUAUGUAUUGGCAUUAUGCCAUUGUUCAACCAAUGAAUGAAAUCAGUUUUUUGUUCAUCAAUUUUCCUCUCCAUUUUCUUAGCUUUUUCUUUUUUUCUUCUGGCUUGAAUUCUCUUGUUUGCUCAGCAAGUCUCGAGACUUGGUUGACAAGAUAUUGCUGAGUCUGCUUGAUUCUAUUGUUGCACCAACAAAUACUAAAGUGAUGAACAAGGCUCCUUGUUCAGUAGCCAUUCUAAUCGAUCGUGACCGAGGUCGUAAUUCAUCGAUCAUAGACGAAUCAUCCACAUAUAGUAUAUGUGUGGUUUUCUUGGGCGGGAAGGAUGACAGAGAAGCUCUUUCCAUUGCAAGAAGGAUGAAAGGAUGGCCUUCGGUUUUCCUAACUGUUAUUAGGUUAAAGGAAACUGAGGAUAUGAUCACAGGAUGGGAGGGUAUGAUGGAUGACGAAUGCUUGAGAGACAUUAAACACCCAAGCAAUGAAAAUGGUAAUGUUUUGUACAAGGAAGAGAUAGUAAGACAUGGAGCAGAUACAUCUGCACUCAUUGGGUCCAUAUUGGAUGAAAACUUUGAUCUUAUAUGUGUGGGACGACACGCACAAUGUGACUCACCACUCAUAGAAGGCUUAUCAGCAUGGACUGAUUUACCAGAGCUUGGGACCAUUGGGGACCUGUUAGUUUCUGCAGAGAUCAGUAAACCAAUAUCUAUCCUUGUGGUUCAACAACAGGUUAUUGAAAAAUGAGUGUAACUUUCACUCUUUUUUCUGCCAUACAAUGGAAGUGUUGCAUGCACCCUUUCAGGUCCUAAUGCAAAUAUCAUUGCUAUAAAUGCGCAACUAACCCAAAGUGAAUCCAUGAAAAUGCCAUUGGAUUGGGAUUGUAACAUUUAGCCCCUUGGUUUAUGGGGGGAUUUUUCCAUGUGCUAAUAUGCUCCAUAUACGACUCAAUAAACCCUAACAGAAAACUUGUAAGAAUUGUAGUAAUUUAUAUUAUCAUGGAAUCAGAGUUGCUUCAUUUCUGCCUUGUGGAACACCUGUUUUUAUCUACCAUUUCUUUCAAAUUCGAUAUUUUAUGGUAAUUUUGUUUGGAAAUGGAAAUUUUUUUAAUGUAGAAUUCUGAUUUGAAUUGAGCUCAGGGUAUAAUAUAAAUUUGCCUUAAAUAUGUUUUUGUAUAUAAAAUUUUAUAUUAGAUUAUAUAAAAAGUUUAGAAUUUUAUUUAAUACGCAUAUAAAAAUAUAUAAUAAAAAUUUCCCAUCACAUAGAUUAAAUAAAUUUUAUAAAAUAUUUUACUUGGUAUAUUUUUAUAUAUAAAUUUUAUACGAUUGUAUAAAAAAUUUAAAAUUUAUUCUACAUAGCUAAUAUCUUUAAAAAUCAUAUAUAAUUGUUUAAUAUUACACUACAAAAUAUAUAAUAAAAUUUCUCACACUUAUUUGGAAAAAUAAAUAUUUCAUAUAUAAAUAUUAUACUUAAAAAAUAAUGAUAUUUGAAAUAAUUAUUUUAUUUUAUAAUAUUAUAAUUUAUCAUACAAUGAAGAUGAAAAAAAUAAAUAUUUGACAUAUAAAAAUUAUAUAUAAGAAAACAUAUAUAUAAAAAAUUAGUUGAUGUUUUAAAAAUAAAAUAUAUUUAGCAUAUAUAUAUAGUGAAAAUACAUAUUUUCAUUAUAUAAUUACAUAUUUAUUAUUUUAUCUAUAUAAAUAAAAAAUAUUAAUUAAACACAUUAAUUAAAAAUUUAAAAAAACACUUAAAAACAACAGAAAAUGCUUGAAAGGAGAUUUGAACCCGAGCCACACAAAAAAAAAUGUCGACCAUGCAUUUAAUUAUUUCUCAAUGGCAUAUAAGAACAACACAUUUUGUAAAAAAGUUGUUUUUCAAAAGCAGCAAUCUAAUCAGCAAAAAUGACCUAUUUAUCUAAACAAUACGAAAAAAAGGGUUAAACUUCGAAUUUUUUAGGAGUAUCUAUUCAUAAUUUUGCCUAUUUACGCACACAAAAAAAAAACAUAAACUAUAGCAUAAACACCAUUUUUUUUGACAAAACAUUUUUUUUUAAAUUACAUGAGAUAUAUUGUAAUUGUACUUAUAUAAAAUUAUAACUAAAUUUGUAACAAUAUGCAGUGACAACUGAAUAAAACAAUAAAAAGUAAGAUGCAUUAGAAGAGAUAAAAGAUUGAUUACACAGUUCAGUUUAAUAACCUAUCGCUGUAUAAUCUUGCUGAGAGAAUGAACCCAUUAUACAAACUUUCAUAGUACAAUCUUCGAUAGCAAACUCAAUUAAUAACCUAAGUUUACCAAUGAUAGUUAUAAUAAAAUCGUACAACUUGUAUGCACUCAUCACCCUUAAACUACCAUUUGACAAAAGUAUAAAAAUCACUCUUUAAGAAAGUGAAAAUAUCAAAAUAAAUAACCUCUUAGUAUGUUUGAAAUGAACAAGAUAAUUUCACUAAUUCAGUGCAAUAAAAAAUAAAAGAAGCCAUCUUCCUUUUAAAAGCCAAUCAUAUCUUCAAAAUAAUUAAAUAUUAUCUUCAAUUUAAUUUCUCCACCUCUUAUUACAUUUUCAAUUCAAAUUUAAAGUCUUUCUAUAAUCCAAAAAAUUAUUUAUUAGAUAAAUUUAAUGAGUUAAAAAUUUUCUCAACCUAGGUAGAUGCUUCAAUAAGUCUACAAUCAUCAAAGCAAGCCAAGACAAACCAAGUAACCAAACCAUAACUAAAGUAGGCCAUGACAAGCCAUUUGCUGCAUCUAAAUCUCCCCUUUUGUCAAAAGUGUUCAAUAAUGAAAAACAAUAAUUGAGCUACUCUCCCUCUGUUUAAAAACAACGCAACAACCAAUUUUCGUGCAAGAACUAUCAAAGUUGACGUUGCAACAUCAAAUUCUUCAUCUCAAUUCACAAAUAUAAAGUUUGUCUCUCCUGUUGUAUUACUAAAAAUCAAUACAUGGAAGAAAUCACCGUAGAUACACCAAAAUAUAAGUAGAAAUAAAAAUAAGUUUAAGAAAAGAAAACCAACAAAAACAACCAAAAUUUAGAAACAUUAUAAUAGUAUUAUUACUCUAUUUUUUACUCCAUUGUUAUGCUUCCCCUUACUCUAUUCUUCCUUAUCAGUUUGUAUUUAUUUUGUUCAAUGAGAUGAGACGGAGUGCUGCAUCAUUAAUCUUGCAAACAAAAUUUCUUAACCCGUGGAACAAUAAGAAUCUCUUCCACAAAAAUUUAAUAGAGUUUUCAUGGUGGUCAAAAUAUUUUCAUGGUUAUCAAUAUAGAUAGUAGCUUUAUAUUUAACUGAACAUCAAUUUGUUGUUGAUCUUCAUAAUUGACAUAUGCUUGAACUUAUCUCACCCUUUCUCACCCAUAUCUGUUUAUGUUGACUACCACAUGUUCUACAAGAUAUGUGAUAGCUAUGGAGCCACCUCAUCUUAAAUCAUUCCACAUUUUAUAGCAACAUGGUCUAAUAUGGCCAAUAAUAACAUAAUAAAGACGAAUAAUAUUUGGUACACUGUCAGUGGAGAUUUUAGACUCCACGAGUAGGGUCAAGGGACCAGUAUACCAAAUACUAACCCAAUAAUGAUAUACAUGUUUUUUUUUCUUCUUUUUACUUAAUUUUUAAAGGGAGGAUCAAAAGAUUUGUUAGCCUUAACAAAAGUAGUGGGAGAUAUAGAUUUCUCCCAAUGUCAAUGUAACUCAAUCCCUUCUGACUAGUCUUAGAUCUAUUAGCACUCAAAAUAUAUCAUCAAGCUUCUCACUUUGAGUGCUAAGCUUUUUGAGAAUUUCUUUUGCAACACUCAACCCCUCUUCAACAACAUUUAACUUUGCUUCUUUUUGUGUAAGAAUAUCAUACUUUUUUUAGAUGUAAGAAUAAGCUUUUGGAUUUUCUUAAUACUGCCUAUAUUGUCUUUCAAUGCUUUAAUAAUUCAAUUGAGAUACCAUAUCCCAACUUUUCCUUCACAGCCUUAUUGGAUUCUUUUGUGCUUCCAAAAGGACCAUUAAUGUAAUUUUCAGAUUUUGUUUUGUUGAUGUUACAUAAGCAAGUGCAACAGUGGAUUCGAUAGUGGCUGUAAAAGCCACAUAAUUUAUUUUUAGAUCAUUAUUGACAAUUGCUUCACUCUUUUGAUUCAUCACUCCAAAUCACAACUAAAGAUGUAUGUUUAUUCUUAAGAGUGUUUUCACACUUAAAUUGGAUAUGAUUGAAACCUUUGCACUCACAACAUUGAAUAAUGCCUUUAGGACAAGAUUCUUUGUCUUUAAUGAGAGCUUUCCUUUUUUUACGGCUGACAUUUUUCCUAACUUUUUAAAUAUUUCCUUUCUUGGAGAAUUUUCUCACAAAUCUGUUAAUGUUAUUUGAUGGGAGUGCCAUCUUUUCUUCGAAUCUUUUAUAGAGGUGGUCCUCAAAACAUUGUUGUAACACUUGAGUUGACAUUGAAGGCAAUACUUCUUUCAAGUUUUACCCUUACGUUCAACUAGUUUUAUAGUAGUUAUUUCUUUAGCUUCCUCGAUAGUAGUAACUUUGAUUGCAGACCUUUUUGGCAAUGAUCGAAGCAUCUUUUGCAUCAAUUUUAACCCAGAUAAACGUUUACCAAGACAUAAGGCUUUGUUAGAAAUCUCACAUAAAUGAGAAUAAUAAUUAAAAAUAGUUUCUUCUUCAUUCAUUCCUAAAUUAGAAAUCUUGCACACAAUACUGGCUGUUGAAGCUGAGCUUGGGAAAAUGGAACAUAAACGUGCAAAAUAAUAAGAAACAACAAGAAAUCUCACAUAAACAAACAUGAUAAUUAGAGAAGAUAUUUCUGAUGGAUAUACUAAGGACGAUAAGCCAUCACUAGACGCUGUUGCAAUUGUCUCAACAUUUACCAAGUCAAUUACUACUGCUUAAGCUAGACUCAUGGAACAUUUGAAAGAAGCUGAUCUGUCUUAACAAAAGCACCUAGUAUCAUGAGAAUCAAGUGAAGAUACUUCAACUAUAGAGGAUUAGAGAUCGACAUAAGUUGUACCUUAUUGCUCAACAAUAGUAAAUGCCUUUGGCACUUUGGAAUAAGAAAAAGAGAACGAGCUCAUGGGAGAUUAUUAACUGGGGUUGAUUACUUGUGGUUGCUGAACUUGAAUUGAAGCUGAUUUUAUAACUUUUUUUGGGGGAAUUUUUUGAUGAUGAUAUAGUGAUGAUUUUUGGACUUAUAUGUGAUGGUGCUUAGUUUUUUACUUAAUAUUUCCCCAAUUUUACUAUGAUACUCUUAAUACCUUGUGUUUUAAUUGUUAAAUGCUUUUGAUAUAUUGAAUUAAUAGUUGAUCCAUCUUUUAAAUUCAUAGUUGAGUGUAUGAUAUAAUGAUCCGAAAUUUACGGUUAUCAGAAAUUAUAUUUUUGGGUCUCCGUUUUUGUAAAACGAAUUCGUAAAUAUUUAUUAAAAAUAUUUACGAAGUUAGUUGUGUAGUUAAUUAGGUUUUGGUUAGCUGAGUUUGUCUAAAUUAAGAGUAAUUAGGUAUAAGGACUAAAUUGCAUAUAGAGUAAAGGUUGAAUUAUAGAAUAGAAAAAAGCUAAGGGACUAAAUAAGUAAGUAAACCAAAUUGUGACAAUUGUAUGGUAAUGGUAAUAUACCUGUGUAAUAAAUACAUACAUAUAUUAGUAAUAUACAUAUAUACUUACUUGUUAUUUAAGAAAAUAUUAUUAUAUUAUAUUAUUAUAAUUAAAACAAAUAAAUAAUGAAACAUAAAAGAAAAAGAAAAAGAAAGAACAGAUUUGGGAACGAAACAGGGGAAAGAAAGAAGAAAAAGAAAGAAAGAAAAAUAAAGAGAAAAAUUAGGGUUUCAAGGGUUCAAACUCAAAUUGGUAAGUUAAUUUAGUCCAUUUUCUUAAGAAUUUUAUGUUUUUAGAAUCCUAGAACAAAAUACUACUUGAUUUAUGUCGAAAUUUUAGAAGUUAGUGGAUUUUUAGAAGUUGUUCAUGUUAAAUAAAUUGAAGUUUUAGGGGUUAAAUUGAUAGAAUUUCAAGCUAGAAGUGAAAAAUGAAUUGAAUUGUAAAAUAAAUCAUAAGUUUUGAGUAAUAGGGACUAAAUUGAGAGAAUUUAAAAAUUAGGAUUUAUGGUGAAAUUUAAAAUUUGAAAUUAGUCUAAAGUGAGAUUUGAAUGAAAAUAUGAAAUGAGUUUAAAUAAAAUAAAGUUAGUCUAGAUUAGGGACUAAAUUGAAAAUGUGAGCAAAGGUUGAGUAUAAAUUGAAAUAUUCAAUAUGAAAUUGUAGUGUAUUGAUAAAUUUUAAUUGUUUCUAUUUCCGUAGCUAACGUUGAGCUGGAGACCUCGGCUAGGAAAGGAAAAGACAAGGUUAACGAUGAAUAGCUUGGGAAUUACGGUUUGUAUUUCUAUAAUCCGAAUUUAAUUAUUAAUUGUUAUAUUUUAAAUUUAAAUGUUUAUGGUAAGUAAUUAAGGUGAGUAUUAGUAUUUUGAUAUUGAAUUGAAUUUAUAUGCAUAUGUGAUUUAUGUGGAAAUUGAAUAUUGGAUAUAUGUUGUACUUGAAAAGCGAUGUGAAACCCUAUUAACUUUAUCGGGCUGAGUCAAAUAUAGUUGGCAUGCCGUAGGAUUAGAAGCGUUCAGGGAUUACUUCAACUUCGAGUCAAUGAGACACUGGGUGUCAUACUAUUACUUCGGAUAAAUUCGAUGAGGUACUAGGUACCAACUUACUUCGGCAUGGCCGAUGAGAUAUUGGGUGUCAAUCUAUUACUUCGAAUUAUCCGAUGAGGCACUGGGUGCCAAAUUGGUGUGUUUUUGUUGGAUCCGUAUAUCCGUCCGAGUCCGAGUCGUGUUAAUAGGGGUAAAUAAAUGAAUUAUCAAUAUGAAUGAUAUUGAAUGAUUUUGAAUAUGAAUUGGAAUGGGAUAUUGAAUUGAGAUAUAAAAAUAAAAUGUAUGAACCAUAGGUUAAUGGAAUGGUUAUUGAUAUAGUUCAUGAAAUAGUUAUUGAUAUAAUGAGAUGAUAUGUGUAUUCUAUUAAGAAAAACUAUUUGAAUAGCAAUUAUGAGAUUGAAAUAGUAAAAGAUGAGAAUUGAAAGUAUUAUGAAUGAUGUGUUUAUGAAAUUGAUUAUCUAUUUGAAUGAUUUCUGUUAUGUGUGUUUAGAUAUAUAUAUUAUAAUUUCUUGCUUAAUAAGUAUUCGGAUUAUAAAAAUACCACUGAGUUUAUACCCAGCGCACGUUUUGUUUUAAUGCGCAAGUUAGGUAUAACACCCCAAACCCGGCCAAGACGAUAUGGCCACAUUCGGAAGUGUCACAUUGUAAGGGUUUUGAAAACGGAGUUGUCACGUCAGAAUAUUCAUGUUUUUACUUGAAAACACCAUCUAAUUAAUCCAUUUGCCAAAACUUAUUACAGUGGAAGCCUUAAAAUAGUUGUAUUAUGAAAAUGCAGUCGUGUUUUGGAAAAACCUUUGUUUGCGUAUAGAUUGUCAUUUUUAGAGAAAAACGUUUUGCUUAAGCAUGCAUUAGCAACAUAUAAAUCCAAAACCAACAGUUAUAAAACCAUAAAGUUCAGAGAGUCCUAGAAAUUAUAAACUCUAAAAAAUAAUCCAAAAAUCAUAAACAAACCACAAAUAAUCAAGUUUUAAUAGUUUUACGGAUGAGUGGUCACCACAGAGUCUCUGCCGCACGAUCCGCCUAAGUCUGUGGAUUACCUAACAAAACAGAUAACAGAUGUGAGUUUGUGAAAACUCAGUGUGUAACUCAAUAGAAAUAAGCAUACAAACAUACAAAACUAUAUGCACAGUCAGAUACAAAUACAUAUAUGCAAAAUCCUACCCUCAUCCUCUACACACCAUCUCCGACCAUCCCAUCACACCAUGUGGGUUUAAAACACGCACCCAGCCCUACACACCGCGUUGUGCCUUUAAGACACAUAUUAGAAUAUAUGCAGCCAAACUGCCAGAAAAUAGGCGAUUAAUGCCAAACAGAAUAUUUCCUCCAUACAUAAAAAUCUCACCCCAAUAACAGAUACAGAAAUCAGAUACAGAAUAUCAAAUUAAUAUGCUCAACAUGCUUUUAGACGAAUACCGAGUUAAUCAAACAUGCAUAGUAUUUUCACAUUCAGAGCAGAAUAUCAGACUAUCAGAUUCAUAGUUUUAAGGUUUGGUUAGCCCUUACCGACCCUACAGUAGGCCCACAGUUGAUCAGAGCGACCUGUGUGACCCUAGGAAAAAUUUUAAAAUUAUGGGCCCAUACACCUGUGUGGCCCACACUCCCAGGUCAGCCUUUGCCCGUGUGGCCCACACGGCCUAGCCUAAAAUCCACAUGCCUGUAUGAGCCCACACACCCAUGUGGCCUACACGCCUAACUUGGUCAUGCCGUAUAGCCAACAAGGCCACAUCCGAGCCACCACACGGUCGUGUGCUGCGCACGGCCAUGCCUUCGUCGACCAAACGACAGUAUCUAGCACACGACCAUCCACACGGGUGGCCACACACCUGUGUGGUGUCGACAGUGAAGUUUUUCAGCUUUCGUCGAAACUUGAUUUUUCGCGUUUUGGGAACACACCUAUUACAGUUUUGAUGCAAAACCAGCCUUGGAACCACCAGAACCUAAAAUCAACAAACCAAAACCCUAAACUCAGUCUUAAAACACAAUAAUCCAAAACCACAAUACCAAAAACUCGAUUCAAGCACUCAACACUUACCCCCAAACCUCGAACGCCUUUAACUACAAAUUCGAAAGAGAAGAGUCCCGUUCUUCGAGAAUUGUGCUGCCAAAACAGAAUAAUAAGGCUCCAAUCGGUAAUUUUGAAUACGAAAUACGUAAACACAAAAACCCCACUUACCGAACAAUUGACAGAAAGUAAAACAACGUGAUACAAAGAUUCGUUGACUGGUCAAAAUUAGAUAAAUGAAAGUAUCAGUAGAUGAAGAACAAAAAGGUAGAGCAAAGCAAGAUAAAAAAUGUCAAUUUUUUUCUUCCUGGAAAAAGGGAGGAAUUCCGAAAAACAAGAAAGAAUAAAAAUAAAAAUAAAAUCCAAAUCCCCCAAAUUCCUCCCCACUAUCCCACUAACAACCACUACUUAGAAUCUCAUCUCUACCGAAACUCUCUCCCAAGCAACUGAGUAAAAAUUAAUACCCAUGCUUACGUCAAGAUUUGAAGACAGGACCUCCAACACACUGACCCCCUUACCACUCGAACUAGUAGGCUCAGUUUGAUAUGGAUUUACAAGCAAUUUAAUAUAAGCCCACUGAAUAAAGGUAAGGCUUAAAUCCAAAAAUAACCUAAAUUUGCCAAAGGUAAGACUUGAACCCAAGACCUCACACACACCCAGAACACUUAACCACUGAAGCAGAGACAUAUUUGUGUUAGAUUUUAUAGGAGCAUAAAUAAGUUAUUUGGAGUGUUACAAUUCUAUCCCGUAAAAGAAAUUUUGACCUCGAAAUUUACCUGAUCAGAACAUAUGAGGAUACUGCAGACGCAUUGAGUCCUUAGAUUCCCACGUGCCCUCCUCAGCACUAUGAUUCCGCCACCGAACCUUCACUAAAGGAAUGGACUUUCUUAUCAGAACUUUAACAUCUCGAUCUAGAAUCUGAACCGGCUCCUCCUCAAAAGUCAAGUCUGGUCUAACCUCGAUCUCCUCAACUGAGACAACGUGAGAUGGAUCAGAUUGAUACCACCUCAACAUCGAUACAUGAAAGACAUCAUGAAUAUGAUCCAACUCUGGAGGUAACUCCAACUGAUAAGCAACCGGUCCCACACGUUUCAGAAUCUGGUACGACUCAAUAAACCUAAGGCUCAACUUGCCCGUACGACCGAAUCUCAGAAUUUUCUUCCAUGGAAAAAUCUUAAGAAACACGAAGUCCCCCACAAAAUACUCAACAUCUCUCCUCUUCAGAUCUGCAUAAGACUUCUGCUUAUCAGAAGCCGCCUUUCGACGAUCCCGAAUCAGCCUAACCUUGUCUUCGGUAUCAAAAACCAACUCUGGACCCAAAACCCGAUACUCACCCAACUCAGUCCAACAUAGCGGGGUAUGACACUUACACCAUACAAAGCCUCGUAAGGUGCCAUCUGGAUGCUAGACUGGAAACUGUUAUUAUAGCCGAACUCAGCUAGCGGCAGAUAAUCCUAUCAACUACCUUGGAAAUCUAUCACACAGCUCUAAAGCAUAACAUCCAGUAUCUGAAUCACCCUCUCAGAUUGAUCAUCGGUCUAAGGAUGGAACGUAGUAUUGAAGUCUAAUAUCGAACUUAGGGCCUCAUGCAACUUCUUCUAGAACUGAGACGUGAACUGAUGAUCUCUAUUAGAAAUGAUCGAAAUAGGAACCCCAUGCAGUUUCACAAUCUAAAAAAUGUAGAGCUUUGCUAAGUUCUACAGAGAAUAGCCCAUCCGAACCGGAAUAAAGUGAGCAGACUUGGUCAAUCGAUCCAUGAUGACCCAAACAGAAUCAUUCUUAGUGGGUGUCAAGGACAACCCACUAAUAAAGUCCAUCAUCACUCGUUCCCAUUUCCAUAAGGGAAUAUUAACUGGCCGCAACAAACUCGAAGGCAAUUGGUGCUCAGCCUUAACUUGCUGGCACGUCAGAUAUCGAGCCACAAAAUUUGUAACCUCACGCUUCAAUCUUGGCUACUAGUACAACUCACAGAGAUCGCGGUACAUUUUAUUACCACCGAGAUACAUAGCAUAAGGGCUACUAUGCGCCUCCCUCAGAAUUGACUGCUUCAAAUCAGAAUCAUUCGGUACACAGAUCCAUUCUUGAAAACAUAACACACUCUCAUUGUUCAACCCAAAAUCUGAAGUAUUGCCACUCUCAACCUGAUGAAACUCCAAACCUAGAUACUCAUCCCCCAAUUGCUUAACUCGAAUCUAAUCAUUCCAAGUCAGCUUAACUUGCAACUCAGCUAACAGACUCCCAUCGUCAAACAAGCUAGGGCAAGCGAACAUCGCCCCCAGAUCAGUUAUUGCUUUAUGACUUAGAGCAUUAGCCACUACAUUGGCCUUACCAGGAUGGUACUCAAUCGUGUAGUCGUAAUCCUUGAGCAACUCAACCCAUUGGCGAUGCUUGAGAUUUAACUCCUUCUGAGUAAGAAAGUACUUGAGGCUUUUAUAAUCCGUGUAAAUGAUGUACCUCUCACCAUACAGAUAGUGCCUACAGAUUUUUAACGCAAAGACCACAGUAGCGUAAAGUUAUUUUUUACUUAGAAUAUACAGUACCACUCUAAGAUGCUCAUCCUCGGUCUUAGAGUGUACCAGAAUAUCGUCGAUAAAUACCAUGACAAACUGAUCCAAAUAUGGCUGGAAGACUCAGUUCAUCAAAUUCAUGAAUGUUGCCGGAACAUUCGUCAGACCAAAAAGCAUCACUAGGAGCACGUAAUGUCCACAACGAGUCCUAGAUGCAGCCUUAUGAACAUCCACUUCCUUAACCCUCAACUGGUGGUAGCCAAACGAAGAUACAUUUUAGAGAACACUGAAGCCCCUCAAGUCAUUGAUCCUUGAAAGCGAAUACUUAUUCUUCAUAGUCAACAUGUUCAAUUAUUGAUAAUUGAUGCACAUCGUCAUGGUCCCAUCAUUCUUCUUAACAAACAUAACUGGUACUCCCCAUAGAGGCAUAUUAGGACGAAUGAAACCACGAUCCAGAAGCUCUUGCAGUUGAGCUUUAUGUUCUAUAAGCUCCUUCGGUGCCAUACGAUAUGGGGCGAUAGACAUCGGAGCUGCACCCAGUAGAAGCUUAAUUCUAAACUCGACUUAUCGAUUCGAAGGUAAACUUGGUAACUCCCCAAGAAAGACAUCUGGAAAGUCCCUCACUGUUCUAAUAUCCCCAACAGAAGAAUCCCCAGAAUAAAAAAUACUGAAGUAAGCCAAGUACGCUUCACACCCUUUCUGAACCAGUUUCUCAACCACAAGAGUGGAGAUCACAUUGGACAAAUAAUCUCGAAGCUUACCAAUCACAACCACCUCCAAAUCAUCCUUGGUCUUCAGAAUGACCCUCUUAGUUGUGCAGUCUAAACUGACUCAGUGCUCAACCAACCAGUCCAUCCCCAUAAUUAAAUCUAACUCCCCAAACGAAAGCUCUAUCAGAUUAGCUCGAAAGACAACUCCUUGAACCACUAAAUUGAAAGAAAUUUUAAAUUAAGGUUUUGUUAUGAAUAUUAGAUAAAUAAGUUGAAUAUGGAAGGAAUUUGAAUAGAAACAAAGUAUGAUUUGAGUUAAGAAAAUAAGUAAGUUUAGUUAGAAUUAAAUUGAAAGUGGGAUAUAAAUUGAAUAGAAUUUAAUUAUUUAUUUUAAACUAGUGUUGUAAUUAAUAGUAUAAAUUAUUUUAAUUUUUGGUAGCUAAUAAAGAAUCCAAGACGUCAACAUAAAAGGGGAAGGAAAAGAUAGUCGAGGAGUAGCUCGAGAAAAUUUACAGUUUGUAUUACUAUAACUCAAACUAUUAUUUAUUAAAUGUUAUAUUUAAAUUUAUAUGUAAGGUAAGUACCUUAUAAGGUAAGUAUUAAUAUUUGAAAUGAAGUAUGGAUAAGUAUGAGUAUUGAAUUACAUGUGGAUUGAGAUUAAAAGUAUAUUGAAUUGAUUGUAUAUUGAAAUGGAAUUGAAAUUGAUAUGGAAAUGAAAUUGAAAUAAAAAAAAAGUAAAAGAAUACCCUAUUAACUAGUCGGACUGUGUCAUAUAUAAUUGGCAUGCCAUAAGAUUUUGAGAAGGGAUUUGGAGAUGUGAUUUGGAUAUGCUGAUAUUUAUAUCCUUCGGAUUUAUCUGAAGAGGCACUCUGUGCUAUUCUGGUGUGUUUUAGAUGGAUUAUAUUAUUCUGGUGUGUUUAGGAGGAUUAUAUGAUACUGGUGUAUUUUGGAAGAUUAUACUAGUGUGUUUUGGUUGGACAUUUCUGGUGUGUUUGGAUGGAAUCCGUGUAUCUGUCAAAGUUUGAUUUAUGUUAAUAGGAUGACAAAUGAAAUGAGUAAAUUGAAUGAAUUUGAUUAUUUGAAUGGUUGAAAAUAUGAGAAGGAGGUAUAAGUUGAUUUAUGUGAUAUGAUAAUAUGUAAUUAAAGCUUAUGAAUUGAUGGAAGAACAGAUUGUAAAAAUGUAAUAUUGUUGAUGAAAUGAUAUAAUUGUUAUAUGAUAUUAAAUAGAAAUUAAUCUUUAAGAUUUAUAAUGUUUAUAAUAAAUACAAUUUAAAUUAUUUGAAUUAUAUAGUUUGAGUUAUGGUAAUAGCACUGAGUAUAAAAUACUCAGCGUAUGGUUGUUUUCGUGCGCAGGUCAAUAGAAGUCCAGAGUCUAGGUUCAGCAUCCAAAUGAUCCCGACUUCAACGUAAAAUUUUUGGUGAUGUUUUCUUCCUUAAAUGAAAAUGGCAUGUACAUAGGUAUUAUAAUGGUUAUUUUGGUAUGUUAUAUAAUUAUGUUGUAAAUAGAAGUAUUUGGUGUUUUGAUGUUUUAAACUAGUGAAAUGGUAGAAAAUUGUUUAUGGUAUUAGUUUGAAUUAAACUGGUUUGAAUGAUUUUAUGAAUUAAUUAGAAAUGAUAAUUAAGUUAUCAAGUCAAUAUGUUAAGUAUAAUUUAGGUAUACUUGAGUAUGUAAAUGCAUUGGUUGAAUUACUGAAAUUGGUAUUGGUUGCUGAUUGAAAAUUUACAAGGAAGGUUAGAUAUUUAUAAAGGGGAUAUAUUGAGUUUUUUUUUAAAAAAUUACAAAAAAAUUUCAGAGUACUUGAAAAAGUCCCGUUCCAUUUUUACUAUGCGAUUUGGGCCUCGAGGGUCCAUUAAAGGGACUUUAUGAUUUAAUUUUAAUAUGUUUGUUAUGUAUUUAUGAAUUGUACAUAAAUUGAUCAAUAUGUUCAGAUACAGUACUAGUUACGUAGGAGUGUAUGGAACCUAUGUCCAUUAGAGUUGUAUAAGGUACAUCAAAUAUAAGGAACAUACCAGUGAUAACAUCUGGAGCAUCUCUAUCCUCUCGGCAUCGUGCAACAUAAACCAGUGCAGGCUGACUCGCCUCAGUUUGACCAGCACCUUUGCCCGGUGCUCUCUGCCCACGACCUAUACCAUUACCACCUCUAGCCUACCCAUGACCCCUAGGUGGCUGCUGAACUACCCUCUGAGGUUGCGCAGAACCCGGUCUCGUAGCUUGUAUUUGAUCAGCCCUUUGUGGACACUCUUGAAUACAGUGCUCUAAUAACCCACACCUCAGACAAGCCCUAAUCCUCCUCCAACACUAGCCCAAAUGGCACCUUCCAUAAUCACCGCAUAGGUGCAACCCAAUAGGAGCUACAGAAGCCCCUACUCUAAUAGGCUCAUCCAGUCUAGCCUUUUUCUUAGGCAUCUGAACAGAACUAAAGGGCUCUGCAUCCCUCUUAGUCUUACCCCACUCUCAAUCCCUAUUCUGACGCUCCACGAGCUUAAUAUUCUUGGCGAGCUUCGUCUUCUCAACCAAAAUCGUGAACUUCCGCUCCUUCUGUGGAGCAAUCAGAACUCUCAAGUUGUCCCUCAGACCAUCCUCAAAGCAGAUACACCUCUCAUACUUAGUCACUACCAUGCCACGAGCGUAGCGGCUCAGUCUUAGAAACUUGGCCUUAUACUCGGCCACAGAUUUAUCGCCCUGCGUAAGAUUCAUGAAUUCACGCCUACGAGCAUCCACAUAGCUCGUUGCCACAUACUUGUUCUGGAAGGUAGUCUUAAAGAAAUCCCAACUUAAUCGAUCAGGCUGAGUACCCUUCUCAACUAUAAACCACCACUGGUAAUCCUCAUAGCCCUUUAGUUUCUGCUUAGGAGCAUAAUCAAGAUUAUUCAUGAUCCUCUUAGUGGCCUCCAACCAAUACUCGGCCACAUUAGGGGUGACUCCAGUGACACCCCUAAAUAACUCAGUACCAUUAGACCAGAGUCGUUCAGUUACCGACCCUCGGCCCCUAGCUUAAAAAUGGGGUCCAGUGACCCUCUCCAAGAUCUUUAGCAUGGCUUAGGACGGUGUGUCGUCCCUAGCUGAGCGACUUUGAGACCAGUCUCGGUGGUAAGUGAAACCGAUGUCUCACUAGUAUCUAGAUUUGGCAUACUACCCAGAGAGCAAAACUCAGCUCGAGCCCCCUACGGCCUCUACCACGGCCUCAAAUACCACGUCUACAAGUUUCACGAGCACUCAUCGUAAACUUUCGACUUUUAUAUACAUUAUAAAAUUUUAUGCAUCAGUUCUAAUAGUUAUUAGUAGAUGUUUUAUGCAUAAAUUUUCAAAAGUUCAAAAUUGUUUUCAGAGGUUUCAGUCUCUAGCUAACUUAGUAUAGUUUCGAAAGGUAUUAUCUACAGUGUUUCAGAGCAGUUCUAACUAAGUUUUAGAAAUACUUACAGGAUUGGUGCCGAAGACUUGGUGUACCACAUUCCUUCUCAAUUGUUCAAAUUAUUUAGGAUAUUUGAAAACCAAUUUCUUUUUUAAACAAAAUUUUGGAACCCAAAAUUCUCAGCUGAGUUUUGCAACCUCGCUUUGAUACCACUAAAUGUAACAACCCAAACCUAGCUUAGACGUUAUGCCGCAUCCAGAAGUGUCACAUGGUAGGGGUUUUGAAAACGGAGUUGUCACGUCAGAACACUCAUGUUUUUACUUGAAAACACCAUGUAAUUAAUCCAUUUUCCAAAACUUAAUACAGCAAAAGCCUUAAAACAAUUGUAUUAUGAAAAUGUAGUCGUGUUUUAAAAAAAUCUUUGUUUGCUUAUAAAUUGUCAUUUUUAGAGAAACAUUUUGCUUAAGCAUGCAUUAGCAAUGUAUAAAUCCAAAACCAACAGUUAUAAAAUCAUAAAGUCUGGAAAGUCUCAGAAAUUAAAAACUCUCAAAAAUAAUCCAAAAUCAUAAAUAAACCACAAAUAAUCAAGUUUUAAUAGUUUUACAAAUGAGUGGUCACUGUUGAGUCUCUGCCGCACCGAUCCACCUAAGUCUAUGGAUUAGCUGACAAAACAGACAACAGAUGUGAGUUUGCAAAAACUCAGUGUGUAACCUAACAAAAAUAAGCAUGCAAAGAUACAUAACUAUAUGCACAGUUAGAUACAGAUACAGAUUAAGAUAUGAAAAAUCUUACCGUCAUCCUUUGCGCACCAUCUCCGACCAUCCCUCACACCAUGUGUGGUUUAAAACACUCACCCAGUCCUACACACCACAUUAUGCCCUUAAGACAUAUCAGAAUAUAUACAGCCAAGUUGCCAGAAAAUAGGCGAUUAACACCAAAUAGAAUACUUCCUCCAUACAUAAAAAUCCCACCCCAAUAACAAAUACAGAAAUUAGAUAUAGAAUAUUAGAUUAAUAUCUCAACAUACUUUUAAAUGGAUAUCGAGUUAAUCAGACACACAUAGUAUUUUCACACUCAGAACAGAAUAUCAGACUAUCAGAUUCACAAUUUUAAGGUUUGGUUAGCCCUUACCGAACCUACGAUAGGCCUACAGUCGAUCGGAAUGACCCAUGCGACUCUAGGGAAAAUUUUAGAGGGCAUGUGGGCCCACACGCCUAGAUAGGCCUUUAUUGGUGUGGCUCACACGGCCUAGGCCAAAAUUUACAACCUCGUGUAACAUGCCCGUGUAGCCUACACGCCCAACUUGGUCAUGCCCGUAUAGCUCACACAGCCACACUUGAGCCAUCACACGGCUGUAUGCUGCGCACGGCCAUGCCUUCGUCCACCAUAUGGCCAUGUCUCGCACACGGCCAUCCACACAGGUGGCCACACGCUCGUGUGGAGACGAUAGUGUAGUUUUUCGGCUUACGCUAAAACUCGAUUUUUCGUGUUUUAGGAACACACCUGUUACAAUUUUGAUGCGAAACCAACCCUGAAACCACCAAAACCUAAAAUGGACAAACUGAACCCCCAAACUCAGUCUUAAAACACAAUAAUCCGAAACUAUAGUACCAAAAACUCAAUUCAAGUGCUCAACACUUACUUUCAAACCUCGAACACCAGUAACUGCAAAUUUGAAAUAGAAGAGUCCCGUUCUUCGAGAAUCACCGCUGUUAAAACAGAAUAAUAAGGCUCCAACCGACAAUUUUGAAUACGAACUACGUAAACAAAAAACCCCACUUAUCGAACAAUUGACAGGAAGUAGAACAACGUGAUACAAAGAUUCGUUGAUCGGUCGAAAUAAGAUAAGUGAAAGUAUCAGCAGAUGAAGAACAAAAAAGUAGAGCAAAUCAAGGAAAAAUGACGUCGAUUUUUUUCUUCCUGGAAUAUGGAGGAAUUUUGAAAAAUAAGAAAAAAUAAAAAUAAAUCCAAAUCCCCCCACUAUCGUACUAACAACCACUACUUAGAAUCCCAUCUCUAUCGAAACUCUCUCCCAAGCAACUAAGUAAAAAUUAAUAUCCACGCUCGCACCAAGAUUCAAAGACAGGACCUCCAACACACUAACUCCCUUACCACUCGAACUAGCAGACUCAUUUUGAUAUGGAUUUACAGGCAAUUUAAUAUAAGCUCACUGAUUAAAGGUAAGGCUUAGAUCCAAAAAGAACCUAAAUUUGCCAAAGGUAGGGCUUGAACUCAAGACCUCACAUAUACACCCAGAACACUUAACCACUGAAUCAGAGAUUUAUUUGUGUCAUAUUUUAUUGGAGCAUAAAUAAAUUAUUUGGGGUGUUACAUUAAGUUAAAGUCAGAACAUUGAAUCAACAUCCAAAGUCAAUCCUAAACUCAAAGUGGUGAAAUAUGUUUCUUUUUGGUAAUGGCAUGUACCUAGGAUGUUGUGUUUGUCAUUUUGGGAAAUGAUUGUAAUGAUGCUAUAAUUUGAAAUGGGUUGAAUAUAUAUAUGAACAUAUGUAUCAUGUUUAAAACUAUUAAAUGAUGUGCUUUAGUUGAAAUUGGUAUAAAUUUAGAAAUGACUUAAAUGAUGUUAAUUUAAAUUGUUUUAGAUAUUAUAUGUGAAAUACCUAUAGGAGAAUAUUGAUUGGGCACUAAGGAUGAUUAAUUUGACAUGUUUUAAAUGUAUUUGAAUGUGUUUUGGAUUGGUUGAAUGAUUGGUUUUUUAGUAACUUGUUAUUUAAGUUUGCAAGGUUGGUAAACUUGAUGUAUAAUGCUCAUUUUGAGUCCACACGGCCUGGCACGCGGACGUGUGACCAAACCGUAUGAGACACACGGCUUACAUAUGGGAGUGUAGAUAGGUCGUGUGUCUCCUGCAUCUUAAAAAUUUAAAACAGAAUGCCCAGAAAAUUGCACACGGGCAUGUGUCUCAACCGUAUGAGGCACACAGCAUAGCACACGGGCAUGUGGCUGACCGUGUGGCCUAAGUCAGAGAGUUACACAGGGUCAGACAUAGCUUUAAGCACGGGCAUGUUUCAGGUCACACGGGUAUUUCCUUGGGCCACAUGGGCUUGUGAGCCCUGUACUUAGAAUUUUUUUUGAAAUUUCAUAAAAAAUUUUCUGAACUUCUGAUUAAGUCCCGAUUUGUUUCUAACACGUGAUUUGGGCUUCGAGGGCUCAAUAAAGGGAUGAUAUGGUUAAAUUAUGAUAUUUAAUAUUAUUAUAUGAUUGUUCGUAUUUGUUCUGAAAUGUUCGAUAAUACUCCGUAAGCCUAUUCUGGCGACGGAUAAGGGUUAAAGGGUGUUACAUGUGGAUUAAAGGGGAGUGUUGAGUUGAUUAUCCAUACUUGAUAUCUUUCUAAGUUUUUUUGUUUAAUAAAUGCCAAAAAGGAAAAAUUGUUAAUACUAGUUAUAAUUGCUAAUCACAAUGCCAGUUGUAACUUGAGAAAAGGUUUCCAGAACAUUAAAACUUGCCUUAUUUGAUUAAUGUAUUUUGGCAAAAUCUGCUUGAACCAUUAAUUGUUUUUUUUUUCAAGGAUUACUACCAACAUAUUAUAAAGGCUUUAUAUGGAAGAAUUAAGACAAGCAAGGAUCAAAUUCAAACUUUUAAAGUAAUUGAAGUUCACUUAGUUAAAAGAUUUGAUAUUUAAAGGAGAUUGAUUUUGAAAUGAUCUCUGCUUGUGUGGUGAUUACUUAAAGACCUUUUAAGUGGCUAUUUUAGUGGAACUAGUGAUUGUAAUUGAUUGAAUAACAACAAGCCUUUUAUUACCUAUAUAUUGUACAACUCAUUUACGUUAGAAAGUAUAAGAUAGAAAGCACAUUACUUGUUUGAUUAGGAACUAUUUUGAGUGCAAAAUUUGUAAGUAAAUAGAGUUGUGUUCAUCAGUUUACACUUAAAAUUUCAAAGGGAAAAGGUUACAUGUAUGAGUAGUAUCCUAAGUGGAAUACAAGUCAACUUCCUAAUUCAAGUAUGACUUAUACUGGUGAACCCCGUUCGUCAAAUUUGUUGGCGAACUCCAACUCGCCAAACUUACUAGCAAACACCGGCUUUGCCAAACCCCUUGGCGUGCUCAACUCACUCAAAACUGGUGAACCCUCCUUACCAUGUCUUCUGGCAUACUCUGAUUGCCGAAUCAAUGACGAACUUUGUUGAAAGUAUUUUAGCGGACACCUGUUCACCAAACCACAAGUGAACUUUUGCUUGCGAGGCCCAAACUCUUAGGCCCUAUCUCGAGAUGUUGCAUUACUAUCCAUUUGGACAGUAGUGUUUUUAUAAAGAGACAUGAAAACUUUUAUAAAUAGGAAUGGAUUUUUAUUUGGAUAUGUCACAUCCCAAAAUCCGAGUUAGUAGAAAUCAGGUUAAUGAACUGAGAAUGGUCACAUCUGAAUUUUUUUAGAUGAUCUUUUACUCAUUUGAUAAUAGAUAAGUAUCAAGUAUAGUGGUUGAGUAAUGAUGGAGCUAUCAUUGAUGACUUAUGUUCGAAUCCCUUCCCUUACAUUAUUUUCUAUGUGGUGUAAUUUUACCUCAAACCUUAACAAAUGUUACACCAUGUUGUUAAAAUAAAUGUUGUAAGAAUUAUAAUAAGCUAGGGAAUAGUUAAAUGGUUAAGUGUUUAGUUAAUUUCCUAAAGGUCCUAUGUUUAAUUCCCUAAACUCUUUUAGCUAGCCAACUUUCCCCCACAAACCACCUUUUCACUCCAGAUGUUCCCCCUUAAUCCACUUUUCAUGCCACUGUCUCCCAAAGCUUCCAUUUUCUCCUAUUUACCAAGCUUGAACCAUCCAUCCCACCUAAGUUAGCCACCAUUCACUUUCUUCUCUCAUUUUGUGUCUCAUCAUCCUCUCUUAACCAAUUCCUCCAUUGCUCAUCCUUUCUUUUCCAUUUCCUUCUUCUUUGAGCCACCAUUGCACCUCUUUUUCUCCACUUUUAUUCUAUCUUCCACCACCAUUAGUUAACCACACCACCUCCGCACCACCACCUUACUACUGCUGGACCACCACAGGACCACUGCCGCGACACCAUUUUUCCUAUUUUUUUGUUUUCUAUUCUCAAAAAUUCACCAAUUCCACCUUAAUUUCUGUCUUUUUAGUUUUGAUAAAUCCUUGCUAGAAUUUUAUUGCUUUUAUCUUAAAAAUAUCAUUUGCUAUAAAUUAAUUCUUUGAUUUAUCCUUUCUCUCCUUUUAAUCGGUUGAUUCAACAAAUAUUCAGUUAAAGAAUAACGUAAGUAUGAAAUGAUAUUGGGUACUAAAUCAUCACUUCUGCAUCAUCUUUUUAUUAAUAUGCGAAUUUACUAUUAGUGUUAGACAUCGUUUUUCUUCGAUAUUAACAUCUCGUACAUUGAUCUUGUGUGAAAGCUCAAUUGCUAACAACUUGGAACACUUUUGACUUUUGGGAAGUGAAUCAUAUCUCUGAUUUUAGUUAUAUUAGCGUAAGUGUGGUAUUGGAAAUCAUGAUUAAUCUGUUUUUAUUUAAAAGCAUAACUUGAGUGACGAUUUAAUGAUGGAUUAUCUGUUUUGUGUUUAGAUCCGAGAUGGCUCUAAUUAAAUCUGGAAGUGGGCGUUAGAAGGAAUUUUUCGCAUUAGAGUUGCUUAGAUUAGGUGUGUGUUUUAACAUUAAACGAAACUAAACCUAUGUUUUAUAUUGUUAAAAUUAUUAUUAUUUAAAUUAUGUUUGAUGAGGAUACUUUAUGUAUCCAUUAAGAGAGAUAAAACUCAUCGUUAUGGACUAUGUCAAGUAAGUGAUUCGAAACCAUUGAUUUUGGUGAUAUGUAUGAUGUGUGAUUUGUUGAUUAUUAAUUAUAUGAAAAUUAUAAAAAUCUCAUUCUCAUGUUAUGAGAUCUUAUGGCAUAUUUGAUUUUCGCGUUGUCGAAACCAUUUUUAAUUUGAAAAAUAGGAGUCGACUUAAAAACAAAAAUAGAGUCGCCACUGAUCUUUUUUCGAGGUGUGAUCAGAUCACCUUGAGAUUGAUCAUUUUAACAAAACAUUUUGAUUUAUUAAAACAAUGAUUUUGGGUCUAUGAAAUUCGAGAAAAAGGGUUCAGGAGUCGAUUAUGCACGAGGAAGGGUUAGCACUCUCGUAACGCCCAAAAUUGGUACCUAAUUGAUUAAUUAAUGUCUUAAUGUCAAAAAUUUGAAAAGAUUUUAGAAUACGAUCCUUUUAUUUAAAAAGAACACUUGAAUAAAUUAAAUUGGAUGCUAAGACCUUCUUAUUUCGAAGAAAUAAAAUGUCACACCCAAUGAGUUAGGACACGACAUUUGAAACCUUUGAGAAUAAGAUUGUCUUUUAUUUCUUAGAAAUUCUUACCUCAAGACAACAAAAUGUCACAUCCAGUAAGUUAGGACACAACAUUUCAAAUUCUCGAGAAUAAGCUUCUUAUUUGAAAUUCGUGUGUUUCAAUUUCAAAAGGGUAUUCGGUUAUUUAGAUCAAACGAAGAAACCGAAACCCAGCACGUUAGGACACAAUUUCUCGAAUUUACAAAUAUGGAAUAUUGCUUUUAUUUUAAAACAAAAUUUCAUGAAUCGGGUCAAGGUUAAUGUAAUGCAAUUUGAUGAAAAAAAUUACAGUACUAAGAUGCAUACCAGAAUAACAAAUGCGUAAUGCAAAUGGUAAUAACAAUGACGAAAAUAAAAUGGAAUAAAUAAAUACAACAAAGAAACUAUAAAAGGGAAAAAAUAAUAGGUAAAAACUAAAGAAAAUAAAACCUAGAAAUAAACCAAUAAAUAGAUGCUAUGUAAAAUAGUCUAAAUAAUAAUAAUAAUAAUGAUAAUAUUAAUAUAAAUAAUAAGUAAUCUAAAGCUUAAAAAGAUUAGGUAAAUGAAUAAUAAAAUGAUCAUAAAAAUGUCUAAAAGUAAGGAUAAUUAUAAUAAGUAAGUAAGUAAACACCAAAAAAAAAAAGAUGUAAUACAUAACAUGCAAAAGUAUUAAAAAUAUAUAAAUAAAUAAAUAUAUAACUGAAUUAUAAUAAUGAGGGCAAAAAAAAAUGAACAAAGGGGAUAGUAAAUGAAAUAACAAAAAAUACUAAUAAAAAUUUAAUUAAAAAUUUAAAGUAGGUUGAAUAACAUAUAAAUAAAAAAUAUUAAGUAAAAUGCUUUUAAAAAUAAUAAUAAUUAUAAAUAAUAAUAAUAGUAAUAAUAAUAGUAAUAAUAAUAAUAAAUAAUAGUACUAAUAGUAAUAAUAAUGAUAAUAAUAAUAUUAUAAAAGAAUAAAAAAAUAAUGAUAUUAAUACAUAAAUAGAAAUAGAAAUAUAAUAAUAAUAAUAAUAAAAGUUUUAAAAUCAUAUAAGAGGACAUAAAUAAAUGAAUAACAACACGAUAUAAAUAAAUAAAAUGUUAAUAACAAGAGUAAAAAAACAUAUAUAAGAAAAAUAAUAAUGAAAAUAAUAUUAGUAUAUAAAUAGAAAUAGAAAUAUAAUAAAUAGAAAUAUAGUAAUAGUAUAAAUAUAAAUAAAAAAUAAAUAAUAGAUAAAUAAUAAUAGUUUUAGAAUAACAAAAUAAAUAUAAAUGGAAACAUAAUAAUAAUAGCAAUAAUAUAUUAAAUUAGUUAAUUUGAUAAUAAAAUAGCGAAAAUAAAAAAAAAGAUUAAAUAGAACCUUAAAGCAAAAUUUUGGGGCAAAUCAAAAAUAAAUAAAAGGAAAUGGACCAAUUUGAACGUGCGAAUAACAAGGAGAGACCAAAAGGGAAAUAAUUCUCACCCUCUAAAACGCACAGCUUCAAGGAAGACCAAAAUGCAGUCAAAAUAAAUUUUAGGGCAAAAAUUAAGAAUAAUGAAAACUUAAUUGCAAAACAAUAAAAAAAAAGGAAUGGCUAAAAGCAAUUGGACGAAUUUAGAAAAAAACAAAGAAAUUGAAAUGAAAUGGACAAAAUUCCCACGUAAUUGAAAGAGAAAAGAAAAUAAUUCCAUUCCAAUGGAGAUAGGAAAAGAGAGAAUAAUCCAAUUCCAAAUUGAAGUAGGAAUACCAAAAGUCCUCCCUUUCAAAGAACAAAAUAUCCCUAUUUAUAUACAUGGAGUUUACUAAAAAUAGUCUAACUAAUUUAAUAAAUUAAAAUAAAAUAAAAAUAAAAUAAUAUCUUUCUAUUUUUGGCCUUUUACCAAGUCAACAGAAUUUGAUAACUCCUUGGCUUUCUCAAUCUUUUUGAUUUGGCCCCAAUUUAAUGAUUCUUUCAAUUUGACCAUUUUUGGCUUUAUUUAUUCGGUUAUUAUUUUUUUCGGGCCCAGGCCAAAAUUGGCCUAUUACAGCUGCCCCUCUUUGCUUAUUGUCGUGUAACGAGAAUGGAGCAAAGACUAUAAAAGGGCCAAUUUUGUCUGGAUCGGCGCUUCUUUUCUUCCCCUUUAAGUAACCUCGUUCCAAUUCACUGUAUCUUCAGAGGUAUAAGAAUUGGUGCUUCGAUCCGCUCCAAUGUAAUUUCAGGGAAAAGAGAUUUAUAGCUUCAAUCUACUCCGCUGCAACUUCAGGGAGAUAAGAUCUGCUAUCUUCAGUCUGCUCCACUGCAACUUUAGGGAGAUAAGACUUGUAUCUUGAACCUGCUCUACUGCAACCUCAAAGAGAUAAGGCUGGUGAUUUAAAUCUGCUCCAUUGCCGCUACAUGGAGAUAAGAUUCAUCGUUUUCGAUCUGCUCCACUACUGUUUAGGGAGAUAAUAUCUACAAUUUUCGGUCCGCUUCACUGCAAUUUCAGGGAGAUAAGACUUGUAUCUUGAACCUGCUCCACUGCAACUUCAAGGAGAUAAGGCUGGUGGCUUAAAUCUGCUCCAUUGCCGCUACAUGGAGAUAAGAUUCGCCGUCUUUGAUCUGCUCCACUACUACUUAGGGAGAUAAGAUCUGUAAUUUUUAGCCCGUUCCACUACUGCUUACGGAGAUAAGGCUAAUGGCUUAAAUCUGCUCCAUUGUCGGUACAUGGAGAUAAGAUUCUUCGUCUUUAAUCUACUCCACUGCUGCUUAGGAAGAUAAGAUCUGUAAUUUUCAGCCCGUUCCACUACUGCUUAGGGAGAUAAGGCUAGCGGCUUAAAUCUGCUCUAUUGCUGCUACAUGGAGAUAAGAUUCACCGUCUUCGAUCUACUCCACUACUGCUUAGGGAGAUAAGAUCUGCAAUUUUCAGCCCGUUCCACUACUGCUUAGGGAGAUAAAACUAGUGGCUUAAAUUUGCUCCAUUGUCGUUACAUGGAGAUAAGAUUCGCCGUCUUCGAUCUGCUCCACUACUGUUUAGGGAGAUAAGAUCUGCAAUCUUCAGCCUAUUUCACUACUGCUUAGGGAGAUAAGGCUAGUGGCUUAAAUCUACUCCAUUGCUGCUACAUGGAGAUAAGAUUCGCGGUCUUCGAUCUGCUCCACUACUGCUUAGGGAGAUAAGGCUAGUCGAAAUACUUGUAGAAUCAAUUUCAUAGGCCUAUGCUUAUGCCUAAUGAUUAGGAUGCCAUGAUCAGAAUGAGUCGAAUGCUCCUAACUAGAUGUGUUAUGAAUGACAUUUGUAUGAAUGUAGAAUGUCAGGAGAAUGCCUUUUUUUAACAUUUGAGCUAUUAUUACUUGCUGUUUGACUAGAUUAUAUCAUUGACGUAUGUCCUCUUGUUCAACUGAUAUCGUUAACAGAAAAUCUGAAGAAAUAGUCAUAAUUUGGACUUUACUUCAAGUAUUUUCAACCCUUAGGCUUGGUGAGUUCUAAAUAAUUGUCCUGUUUUAGGUUCCUGCACAAUUUAGAAACUUCUAGAGUAAUGUGCAGAACUCCUUUUGUGAAAGUGUUAUUAGUCCAUUAAUCAUUAUUUCAAUACAAAAUGCUUGAAAAAGAUUAUAAAAAUGGAUAAAACUGAAAUUUAUUAAGAACAAAAUCUGAAAAGAACGAAUUAAUCAAAGACAGCAAAAAUUGUCUGGAUACAAAAAUAGGUAAGGAAAAAAAAUAAGUGCCCCAAAUAUCGCAGCCUGAGUUUCUCCGUACGAACUCUUCGAGGACCAUUUUGAGCUUAACAUGUGCCUAGGGGAUCUAGAGUACUUUGUUGAUGCCCCAAGGCGUAGCAUACUUCCUUUUUGUUAAUUUAAGCAUAGCAGACUAUCACAUGUCUCAUCUUCAAUCAAAAUUUGAAUUGCCCUUUCCAGGUUUUCAAUUCAAAACCCCUUUGGCCUCGAGGCGCCAUUUGCAGGUUUUCACCUGGUCCUCUCCUUUUUCUUUUUUCUUUUUUUUUUCAAAGCGCCCUUUGCCGGUUUUUGCCUUGGCUUCUCCCCUUUUAGGUGAAGUACUUCUUUAUUGAAUCCGAAUUUACUGGGUUGGGCAGGCUAUUACCAUCCAUCUCAGUUAAUAUCAGCGCUCCCCCAAAAAAAUCCUUCUUUACCACAUAAGGUCCUUCCCAAUUUGGCAUCCACUUUCCUCUAAAGUCCUUUUGUAUAAAAAAAAGGAUCUUCAACGCUAGGUCCCCCUCGUGGAAUUCUCUAGGAUGAACCCCUUUGUCAUAAGCCCGUAUCAUCUGACCGUGACGGAUAUCCUUCAAAUUUGACUGAUCAUAUCGGGAUUGGAUCCAUUUUGCCUCAUCCAAGUUUAGUUCUGACAAGACUCGGAGAAAAGGAAUAAUUGACAAAAGGCUUCCAUUCCAUAAACUAAUGAGAAAGGUAUUAUCCCGAUGAAGGUCUUAGCCGACGUUUGAUAAGUAUAGAGGGUAAAUGGUAACUUCUUUAUGCCAAUCUUUACAAGUCUCGGUCACCUUCCAUAAUUUUUUUAUUUUUGUUUUUGUUUUUUUCUUUCUCUUUUUUCGUUUCUUUCUUUUUGGCUGCCUUUGCUGUACUAGGAUAUGGCGUCUGAUCUUUAAACAAACUAAAAGAUUUUGACAUUGUGCUGUUGUAUAAUCCUUUCUAACAUUCCUUGUCGGCACCUGAUCUUUUUUCUCUUUUUUUAUUUUUUUUAAAAUUUGAUGACUAUCGACUUUGUAACAUUGGCAUAUGAAGUGACUUUCACCCUCUUCGUGAAGUAAUCGAUGACCCUAAAGAUGAAUUGGUAUCGUGUAGAAGCUUUUGAAGAGAUUGACCUCGUAAUAUCCAUGCCCUACAUAUAGAAAAUCUGUGAAGAAAUGGAUGUGGGACAUAAGUCUUGUUUACCUCCAUUUGGCAUUUACGGCAUAAUUGAUACAAUCUCCUUCCAUGGUGGAUCAACAGUACCCGAACCUCAUGAUUAGCCUGGCUAACAUAAAACCAUUAGCAUGUGUCCUCUUAACAACCAUAUGGACCUUUUUUAGCAUCCACUGGUCUUAGCAACCCAGGCAUAUCUUGAUACGAUCAUGCAAAAACAUCUUUGAAUUUUUGAAAUAACUUAAUGACGUCUCAUUUUGUCUUUGUGGUGAUGCUGGCUCUGAUCUUUUCCUCUUUCUCUUUUCAUAGGCUCACUGUCCAUUGACUUUUUGUAGAAUAGGGUUUGUUUUUCAUCUUGCUCUACCAUUCUUAACAAAUCAAGAGAUAAGGUACAAUCUCUAUCAUCUUCAAAGUCCUGAGAUCCCUCUAAACACAUAUCUCACCCAAAAGGAGACUCUGAGUCAGGGUCAGUGUCAGUGUCACUCACGUCAUUGAUAUCUGGGGAUCUGUUGUAGGUAUAAAGGCAAAUUCCAAAGAAUAAAUGAUUCUAAGGAUGAUUAUUUGUAUGGUAUGAUCAUAAAUUCAGAAUAAAAGCAUAUUUAAAGGAGAGUCCAAAGAAUAAAAGAAUCUAUAAAUAGGAAGAAUAAAAGAAUAUUUGCUCAAAAAGAUACAUUUCAUUGAAAUAAAGAUUUUGGACACAAGCCUAUUUCACAAAAGGAUUUUUAUUGCAUCUAGGCUUAAAGCAACAAGCGUGUUUUGAAUAUUACUCUAAAUUAGUUCUAAAAAUACAGGGUUCUCUUCCACAGACUCAUUGCUUAACACUCUCCCAAGUAUACAAGGGUUUGGAAACUUUUAUUCCUCGAUUCUCUCUUUGGAUAUGUCAUUCAGAUUCCCUGAUAUUCCUUCCAGGAUUUUGACUUGUUCAAGUCAUAAAUACCGCAUUUAUUUCAUUGUCAGAGUGAUUAGGUUCUGGGGAAUCAUCGAAUUUCAUAAUUCUCAUUUCAAUGAACCUUUCGACCAACUUUUUAAAUGUAGUGCAGUUUUCGAUUGAGUGUCCCAUUAUUCCCGCGUGGUACUUGCAUUGAGCAUUCUCAUUAUACCAUUUUGGGAACGGAGGUCUCACGGGUUCUGAGUAGAACGGAGACACCACAUGCACAUCAAAAAGAUUUGAUACAACUUCUUAUAUGACAUCGGGAUGGGUGUAAACCUGAACCUUUCUGUGUUUGGCCUCGAGUUGGAUUCCUACCUUGAAGAAUCUUGAUAGCUAGUGGUUACAGCCCUCGGCUGGCCUAAGUUGACCAAUUUGGAAGGCAUGCUCACUAUGUUCACUUUAUUUUCCUUGUUUAUCAGGGUUGGCCUUUUGGCGCUCUCUCCCGCAUCUAUCUUUCCACUCCUUACCGCAUUUUCAAUUAUCUCACCGGAUAUUACUAUAUCUGAAAAGCUCAGAGUAGUGCUUCCCAACAUUUAGUUAAUAAACGAGGCUUUCAGAGUAUUGAUGAAAAGCAUGGUAGUCUCUUUUUCUAGGAGAGGUGGCUGAACUUGUAUGGCAACUUCCCUCCACCUUUGGGCGUAUUGCCGGAAACUCUCAUUUGAUUUCUUUUUCAUGCUCUGUAAAGUGAUCCUAUCAGGAGUCAUAUCCGUCACAUGACUAUACUGUUUCAUGAAAGCUUGUGCUAGAUCUUUCCAUGAAUUGAUCUUGGUACGACUCAAUUGUUUGUACCAUUUGGAUGCUGCCCCAACUAGACUUUCUUGGAAACAGUGAAUCAAUAAUUGGUCAUUAUUGACAUAGCCUGCCAUUUGUCUGCAGAACAUGGUGAUGUGAGCUUCGGGAUAGCUAGUCCCGUUGUAAUUCUCAAACUCUGGAGUUUUGAAUUUGUGGGGAAGCACUAAGUCCGGAACUAAGCUCAAAUCCUUAGCAUCGAUUCCACAGUGAUAGUCAACAUUCUCUAUUGCUUUGAACUUUUCCUCCAACCACCUAUACCGAUCUUUGAGUUGUCUUGGCAAUUCCAUCUUUACUUUUUUCCAUUUUGUCCAGAUCAAGAACUAUAGAAGUGGUUGGAUUGCCCCCCGGAUUUGAGCCUGAGCCUAUCGGGUAAUCCACUGGUGCCGAGGUACCGGCCUGAUAUUGCUAGGAUCUGAUAGCAAUAGGUACACCUUGCGGACAUGUCUGAGCAUUUGUCAGGGUGAAACCCGGAGGGUAGAGAGGCUCCUCAUUGUCCUCCCCCGUAUUUAUCAUAGAGCUUUUUCCUUUUUCUAGCCCCUCAAUCAGCAAUUGGGACAAUUGAUUCAUCAUAUUCCUUUGGGACUCUAGCACUUGGUCUCUCAUAUCUUGUUGGAUCUUCACUAGUUGCUCUUUCAUUUACAUCUGUAACUGGUCUUGCAUCUCACUUUGAAGUUGUUCAAGUCAUUCCAAUCUUUGGUCCAUAUCUUUUGUCUUAGCACUGGUACCGUAACGAUGCUUGGUUGGUAAGUUUUUAUCGAUUUCCAAAUUAACUGAAAUGAUUUCAAUUAAUUAGGGUCCUUUUGUGAAAAUCUAAUGCAAAUGAUGCAAUGCAAUUCAAAUGCAUGGAAUGAAUGCAAAAGAAAAAGAGGCGUUGAUUCUGAAUUCGAUUUUAUUAUAACAACUUUUCUGGAAAACAAAUUCCUUUAUAAAAAAUGGAUUACAUAUGCGGCCUCACCCUUAUAUUCUAGGCGAAGACACCGAUCCAUUUUCUUCGUAAAAGUCAAAUCUCUCAAACUUCCAAUAGAUGCCUUUACUAGCUUCUUUUUGCUUGAUCCGGGCCGUGACUUAUUACUCACUUAUCCUUGCUAUACUUGUUAGAUCCUUUAAGGAAGUCGGGACGUGACGGCUCUCGAAUAAUCUUUAUCGACUUGAAUCCUCGGGUAAUAAAACAGUCUUGUUUUCCUCUGCGAACUAUCAGCCUUCUUUCAUUAUGUUUACUUGGACCCUAUUCAGACGACCGUAUUAUAAUCCACUCUAUCAAGAAAUCUGUUUUCCCAUGACAAGUUGUUCUAUUUAGCAAUCAAAUAUGAAUCAACACCUCCUUUCUAUGAUGAUUUAAUGCAAUACAGUCAUAAACAAAACAAAACACGUUAGCUCAAGACGAAAAAAACAAUAUAGGACACUUAUCUGGGUGACCGCCAGGAUUUGGCAUGGCUUUACCUAGCGUAGGCUCCUAAAUCUCUCUAUAUGUGGUUCGAUUCUAAAGAAAGGGUACCUGAACCAGCAGAUUCCUCAAUCCUCACCCAUUAUAGGCUCAUAUAGAUUGAGUUCAGUUUAGGGGAACACAUUUCCCAAUGGCUGCACGGAGGUGAAAACCUCACGAAGAUAUAGGUACGGAUGUAUCCCGAAAGCGAUCCACUAUCCUACACGGAGGUGAAACCCUCACGAAGGAAAUAGUUUCACACACCCACUUAAAAGGGUGACUAUGGUGGUAAUGCAAUAUGAUGCAGGAAUAUCCUACGAGACUCAAAUCACAACAAACAUAUGACAUGACACAAAACGAAUACGACAAAAGAACCAUGAUUUUUCAAAUCAAAUUUUUUAUUUUUGACAAAAGGACAAAAAACAAUCAAUUUUACGGCUUGACUCUCUUAUUGUCCUCAGUGGAGUCGCCAAGCAGUCGAAACCAUUUUUAAUUUGAAAAACGAGAGUCGACUUAAAAACAAAAAAUAGAGUCGCCACCGAUCUUUUUUCGAAGUGUGAUCGGAUCACCUUGAGAUUGAUCAUUUUAAUAAAACAUUUUGAUUUAUUAAAGCAAUGAUUUUGGGUCUACGAAAUUCGAGAAAAAGGGUUUGGGAGUCGAUUACACAAAAGGAAGGGUUAGCACCAUCGUAACGCCCAAAAUUAGCACCUAAUUGAUUAAUUAAUGUCUUAAUGUCGAAAAUUUGAAAAGAUUUUAGAAUACGAUCCUUUUAUUUAAAAAGAACACUUGAAUAAAUUAAAUUGGAUGCUAAGACCUUCUUAUUUCGAAGAAAUAAAAUGUCACACCAAGUGAGUUAGGACACGACAUUUGAAACCUUUGAGAAUAAGAUUGUCUUUUAUUUCUUAGAAAUUCUUACCUCAAGACAACAAAAUGUCACAUCCAGUAAGUUAGGACACAACAAAAAAAUUUUGAGCAAAGGAGAUAGUAAAUGAAAUAACAAAAGGAGAUAGUAAAUGAAAUAACAAAAAAUACUAUUAAAAAUUUAAAGUAGGCUAAAUAACAUAUAAAUAAAAAAAAUAUUAAGUAAAAUGGUUUAAAAAAAAUAAUUAUAAAUAAUAAUAAUAAAUAAUAAUAGUACUAAUAGUACUAAUAAUGAUAAUAAUAAUAAUAUAAAAGAAUAAAAAAAUAAUGAUAUUAAUACGUAAAUAUAAAUAGAAAUAUAAUAUGUAGAUGAUAAACCGUAAUCUAUACAUAUUUUUAUCCUAUGCUCAGCACAUUUAUGGAUGGUUUCUCCUUAGAUUUGGUGAAUUCGAUGCUCUUAAUUCUUUAAUUUCAUGUUUUAUACUUAGGUGAGCAUAGGAGAGCAAAAAGAGUGAAAAACAGGCCGAAAAUGGAGAAAAUAGACCCACAUGGGAAAUCAACACGGCCUGGACUUCCUCACACGGGUAAGCUACACAGCUGUGUCUAUUUGGCAGGAUCGAAGCACGAAUUACACGAGUAGACUACACGCCAGUGCCUAUUUAACAGCCUUUACCACGGGCUGGAGUAAUCGCACACGGGCGUGUCUUUGUCAAGCCCAAGUAUAGUCCUAUUCGAAAAAGACCACUUUUGAGGGCUCUUAGGCAUUUUAAAGCCUAUUUAAAUACCUGAGGAGGCACUUAGAACACACAUACGGAGUAGGAGGCAAGGACUUACUCUAGGGAAGUUGAUUGAUCCAUCUCAGAAGCCGGAUUCAUCAUCAAGACUGAAGAUCUCCCUUCAAUUUCCAUUCAGGGGUUUUGGGUUUUCUUUAUGUUUUGUAUUCAUUAUUCUUCUGAGAUGUUUUCUUUUAUAAUUAUGAACUAAACCCCCUAAAUACUUAAGGGGAAUGAAACCAAAAAUGGAUCUUGUUAUUAUUAUCUGAAUUAUAUGAUAAAUAUUUGACUUGUUCUUAAUUAUGUAUUCUUAAUUCUUGUCUUAAUAUUCUAGGAUAUUGAUUCAAGUUAAUGCGCUUAUUCAGAGUAGCAAAAGUCCCUGUCUGAAAGUAAAUUUGUCAUAAUUAAGCUGGGUUGACUGCACGUCUAGAGAUAGCGUGAUAAGAUUUUACCGGAUUAGGGUGAAACCUAAUAAGGGGAUUCAUAAAUCAAAUUAAUCCAACACUAUGGUAUUAAUUAGAAAGAGAUUUCAAUUAAUCAACCUAGGGUUAGACGUUAUUAGUCACGAGAGAGAUAAUAAUAUAACUUAGGGAUUUCUAUGGAUCAAGUCAAAUGAAUAAAUCAUAUGAUUCAGAGUCAAAUAACAAGUGAAGUCUAGGUGGAUUUUUCAUUGGGUAUUGUCUUAAUAAAUCAAAUUUUCCCAAAAGCUUUUCCCUAAUUUCUCUUUGUGCACUCUUAGUUUAGUUAAUUAGUUUAGAUAAACAAAUCCUUUAAUUUUUAGGCUAGAUAAUAAAAAGAAAGUAAUUACUAGUACUCUUGGUUCCUCUAGGUUCGACAAUCCGGUCUUACUAAAGCUAUACUACAGUUCGAUAGGUACACUUGCCUUCAUCGUGAUAAUAGUUAGUUGUACACUUGCCUUCAUCGUGAUAAUAGUUAGUUUCAAGAACGAUUAAUUAUAAAUUUUUAAAACCUGUCACGAAUAUCACGUAUCAAGUUUUUGGUACCGUUGCCGGGAACCUAAGAUAUUAGGAACACUCGAUUUUUAUUACUCUAGCCAUUUUACUUUAUUUGUAAUUUAAAUUUUUAUUUUAUUUUCUAAUUUUUCUUUUAUUCGCUCCUAGUAGGUUUUUAUAGUGUAUGACUAGAAGAAACUCGUCAGGACCAUUACUGUUUGAUUGUGAGAUCGAUCGUACAGUUUUCAAAAAUCGAAGAGAAAUAAGGCAAAGCUUACGAUACACAGAGGAAGAGCAAGAAGACGAUACUUCAACCAUAAUCGAGGAGAUGGCUGAAAACCAGGAAAAUCUGCUACCUCCUGCGAUUGCCACUGAUCCAGUAAAUCAGAAUCCUACUCUGCGUACUAUGUAUGAUUAUGCUAAACCUUCUUUAACAGGAAAUGAAUCGAGCAUAGUUAGGCCUACUAUUGCUGCGAAUAAUUUUGAACUGAAACCUAACACCAUUCAAAUGAUCCAACAGUUUGUUCAGUUUGAUGGUUUGCAGGACGAGGACCCAAACGCUCAUUUGGCGAAUUUCUUAGAAUUUUGUGACACUUUUAAAAUUAAUGACGUUUCUGAUGAUGCCAUUCGCCUUCGGUUAUUCCCUUUUUCAUUGAGGAACAAAGCUAAACAAUAGUUGAACUCAUUACCACGAGGGUCAAUCACUACUUGGGAACAAAUGACCGAAAAUUUUUUAUUAAAAUAUUUUCCAUCGGCUAAAAUAGCCAAAUUACGUAAUGAUAUCUCCUCUUUUGUGCAGAUGGAUUUAGAAACACUCUAUGAUGCAUGGGAGAGAUACAAGGACCUUUUACGAAGGUGCCCUCACCAUGGGUUACCACUCUGGCUACAGGUUCAAAUGUUUCAAAAUGGCCUGAAUCCUUCGACUAGACAGAUUAUUGAUGCAGCUGCUGAUGGAACUAUCAAUAAUAAGACAGCUGAGGAUGCUUAUAAAUUUAUAGAAGAGAUGUCAUUGAAUAAUUAUCAGCGGUAAAUCAUGAGGACAAAGCCAACAAAAAUAGUCGGCGUUUUUAACGUCGAUUCGGUCACUAUGCUUUUUAAUCAGGUAGAACUUUUGAUUAGAAAAAUUGACGGUUUUUUCGUUCUUCACAGGUUCACCCAGUAAUGCAGUGCGAAACAAGUGGAGGUGGAUCAAGCAAUUCAGAAUAUCCACCCCAUGGCCACAACAUAGAGAACGAGCAGUUAAAUUACAUUGGCAAUAAUCCUUAAUCUCAAAAUAAUCCUUAUAGUAACAUUUACAAUGUAGGUUGAAGGAACCACCCAAAAUUUUUGGGGAGGCCACGGAAAUCAGAGACCACCACCACCUCUGGGCUUCCAACAACCACCCUACCAAUAGGAAAAGAAGCCAAACCUUGAGAAGAUGCUAACAAAAUUCAUUUCGGUGUCAGAAACUUAUUUUUAGAAUACCGAGACAACACUUAAGAAUCAACAAGCAUUGAUCCAAAGGCUCGAAACUCAGAUAGGCCAGCUUGCUAAAUUGAUAUUUAAACGCCCACAAGGUAGCCUGCCGAGUAACACUGAAUCUAACCCAAAAGAGCAGCUUAAUGCAAUUACCAUUCAAGAUGUGGAAAGGUUAGUUGUACCUGAACCAGAACCGGGGCAAGAAACUGUGGUAAGUAAAGGUAAAGGUGAGGUGGAUCACAAUGACCAAAAACAAGUAAGUACAGAGUAUAAACCACGUGUACCAUACCCAAAUGCGAUAAGGAAAGACCACUCAGACGAAUAAUUCGGGAAAUUCCUUAAACUUUUAAAGAAAUUACAUAUUAACUUACCGUUUAUUGAAGCUCUUUCGUAGAUGUCGAACGUAGUCAAAUUUUUAAAGGAGUUUUUAACGAAUAAGAGGAAGUUAGAUGAGGCGUCACAUGUGGAGUUAAAUGCAGUUUGCUCAGCCAUACUACAGAAUAAGCUAGCCAACAAAUUGAAGGAUCCAGGGAGUUUUACGAUUCCUUGUUUAAUUGGUAGCUUAGAUGUUAAUAAUGCUUUGGCUGAUUUAGGGGCUAGUAUCAAUGUCAUGCCUUAUAAAAUGUUUAAACAACUAGGUCUUGGGAAACCCAAACUAACUAGGAUGAUCAUUCAAUUGGCUGAUAAAACUAUCAGAUUUCCUAGGGGUGUUAUUGAAGACGUACUCGUUAAAAUUGACAAAUUUAUAUUCCCAGUUGAUUUCAUUGUUCUAGACACAGAGGAGGAUAGUAACGUGCCUUUAAUUUUAAGAAGGCCCUUUUUAGCAACUGCCAAAACGAUAAUUGAUGUUGGUACAGGUAAACUCACACUUUGUGUGGGAGACGAAACAAUCACCCUUCAAGCUCGUAAUUCGAAUAACACAUCAAAAAUUGAAGGUGGUUUUAUAAAUCAUACUACUAAAACUGACCAUGUGGUGUAACCUACUUUGCAGAAAACAGGUUCAGAGAACACACCUGAGCCAUGUUCGAGUAACGACAAAGGACCUAUAUAUGAAGAACGAAGGCUACAAAUCGAGAAACUAGAUGAAUGGCAGACACAUAAACCGAGGACACACGAGAAACCAAAACCAUGCCAUGACAGGCUCAAUAUCUCACCAAAUCAACUUAAGGUUGGAGACAAAGUACUACUAGAUGCAGCAGACCCUCGUAUUGCUACUUCUGAACCUAACGGAGCAAUCCCUCUUACGGUACUCAGUAUUUUCUCAUAUGGUAAAGUCGAGGUAAUUCAUCCCAAAUUUGGCACUUUUAAGGUAAACAAUACUCGUCUUAAACCUUAUGUAGAUAAAAUUGAUAGCAAGGAUGAGGAGUGUAAACUCUUCGCACCACCAUAACCAUGUAACAGAAAGGUAAGUCAAGCUUAGACUAUAAAUAAGCGCUUCUCGGGAGGUAACCCGAGCACUAACGAUGUUAACUUCUUUAAAAUUUUAGUUUUUGACAUUUAAUCACUAACUAAGUCAUUGAAACAAAGGUUUUCUAAUCCACACAGUCAAGCACAGGGGCGUGCCUUAGGUCGUGCUCACACCACGGGAGGAGACACGGCCGUGCGAUACGACUGUGUGAAAAGAGGGUAAAAUUUUUUCGUAACACGGGAUGCGAUAAGUUGCCACGGCCGUGCGACGUGGCCUUGGCCGAGUCUGUCAAACCAACACAGAUGUGCGACACGCCCGUGCCCAUCAACCGUGCUCAAGACUGAUAAAAUACCAUGAGCGUGAACAUCCAUACACGGGUAUGGGAGAAGCGAACGAAGUAGAACAAGGCCGUGCAACACGACCAUGUGCACCAACAAGCCUAAGGAACACGGGCGUGGGCCGAAUGCAAAACACGCCCAAAUUUAAAAAAUCGCGAAAUACACGGGUGUGCCCCACGAUCGUGUGCCUCAAAAUCUAUAUAUAUACUCCUUACUAUUCAUCACCCCCUUCCCCAAAAUCCCUAACCCUAGCCGCUGUAACUUCACACGCCCUAUCUGCCACGCCCAGGCGCCAAGCACAGCACCACCUUCGACGACCCAAAGCUCCUCUCUCUUGCGUUUGUUCACUUUUUUCCCCUAUUCUCUCCAUUCUUUUACUUAUUUCAUGAUAUUUUGUUUUAUUUUAAGUAAUUAAUCAUAGUUAUAAUGAUAGAAUACUUAUGCUCUUUGUUAAGAAAGUUUUCUUCUUAGUCAAUACAUUUUGCUACAUUCAUCCAUUUUUUUUGUUUCCAUAGAUUUCAUGCUUACCCACACCAUAUUUCAUACUCAUCAAACCCACAUGCAUUCAUUCACUAGAUAUUUCCGUUAGCAUUACUCUCGUAGUCCUAUUCAUAAUAAUGACUUGAUAUAUCUGCUUUGGUUGUUUUAGUAUAUUUUUCAUCUAGUACGUGAACCCCAUGAAAUAUUCUUAUUUAGUUUUAACACGCGUCAUUCUUGGGGAAUAUUUAACUUUGACUUUUCAUUAUAGGUAUACAAUGUCAACCUUAUGUGGUAAGAAGACCCCUAUCCCCGCCUCGAAAAAGAGGAAAUAAGCAGCAUCAUCCUCGGGUCCUACCGUGGAGAUUAGGCACCCAUUCCUCCAAUUUCCCUUGGGACCCCAGGAGGAACUAUUUCAGAUAUUACGGGCUCGACCCCUAGGUGUGGGCCGUUGCAUUGACUGGGCCGCACUUGAACAAAUUCAAAUAGCUGACGCGGUCCGAGCCCUCCUAAUGACUGACCCGUGUGGGCUCUUCUUUGAGAUCAUCGAGCCGACGUACCUCGAGCUCACAAUGAAACUCUGCUCGACCUUCUAUUUCUAGGUCAUCAUGACUAACUUCGACGAUCCUGGAACGAUCUAGUUCUACCUUGGUGGUCUAGUGCGCCAGUUGAGUGUACUGGAGUUUUGAAUUGCACUAGGGCUGUACAUGGAGGAGUUCAUGGACAAAAAUGAAAUAGACACCCUCCAUCGCCACAUCUACUACUCUCCCUCAAAGUGCUGGAAGAACCUCGUCCCUGCCUCGGCCACCUAUGAUCCUAGCCGCUCUAAGGCAUCAGCCCUCGCCUCAUCCCUGCGAUCCCUAUACGCCAUCUUGGCCCACACUCUGAUAGGACGGCGAGAGAGCACUGGCGUCGUCAAUACUCACGACGCCUCUUUCUUGUGGAGCAUGGUGAACGGGCACGUCUUCGACCUUGCCUAUUUCAUUGCCCACGCCAUCUGCUAUCAGACGGAGCGGCAUAGGAGAGGAGUCAUCUUUAUCGGGCCCUAUGUGACUCGAUUGGCUCGGAACUUUGGGCUCCUCAACACAGCGGCACAAUCAUCAUCCCUCACUCUCAUCGGCCAGAUGUCCCCACAGGGCAUCUCGAGCAUGUUACAUAUGAUGAUGAUCGAGAAACGACGUGGAACCUACCCUCCUCAGUACCGCCUCGUCCAGUCCACCGAUGAGGAGGACUUAGAGGACAUUACUGAUGAUGUCCCUCCACGUCAUGAGGACCCACCGUCUCAGCCACCACCCAUCCAUCGUCCAGUUCAUGCAGCGGCUUCAUACUCUGACAUCUCUGAGCACCUUACUCGAUUUGAGCAGCAGUGUUUUCAAUGUUUUGAUCACAUUGAUGCUACUCUUCAUCAGAUUUGUCAGCACCUUCACAUCUCAUCGCCACCACCACCUCACGAACCAUCCGGCGAUGACGAUGUUUAAAGACUUUUUAUUUCUUAUUUUUAUUUCCACUUUUAUCUUUAUUUAUCUUUUUUAAGUUCUUUUUAUUUUAUUUUCCUUUAAUAUUUUUUUAAUUUUAGGUUUUAUAACUUUUAUUGAAUAAUUUAUAGUUUUGGCUAUUUCAUUACGAGUAAUUAUGCUUCCUUAUAUUUCCUAAAGAGUUCUUGAUUUUAUCACAGUUAUAAAGAGCUCCAAAGCUCAUCAUCACUUAGGAACUAAAAACUCCACUGGAAAAGGUUCUCCACGACUGCCACGUCCUGCUCAACCACGACCAUAGAUACUACCAAAUAUAAUAUUCUUUUGGCGCAGGACUUAUGGACUAAUGAACCUCUACCAUCACCGGAGUAUCCUCCUCCACUCUCGUCAUUUCCUUGGCCGAUUAUUCUCCAUAACUCCAAUUCCAGGAGUUCAUUCACCAUUCAGGAAGUUUCACUUCUCUCCCUAUCUUAUGAUUAUAGAUCUAUAUUUUUCAAUAUAUCUAUCUUUGUACAUUGAGGACAAUGUACAUCUUAAGUGUGAGGGGUCUUUUAUAUCAUUAUUAGGAAUCCCUGAAUUUUGUCUUGUUCUCAUGUGAUCUUCCCAUACCACUAUUAGAAUGAAUUUUGAUUAAAUUAUGAUUUUUAUUGAUAUGUCUUGAAUUAAAACAUAGGCAUUUAUGCAUUGAUCGUUUAAACUUUAAGACAUUGGGGAAUCAAGCAUGAUAAGUUGAUUUUUGAAAAUUAAAAAUUUUUAGGUUAUUUCCCCAAGUUUAGAUAUUAUCUUGAGUUGAAAUUCACAAGUUUAAACAUCAAAAAGCCAUAAUUUUUGUGAGAUCUUGAGCCUUUAGAGCAUAUGUUAUUUCUUUCAUGCCCACUUUUAUUAUGAGUGUGUCAGUAUUGAUUUGUUAUUCUAGAACUUGCUUGAUUAUGCAUGUCAAGACCACACCAUUUGAUUUGAUAUGUCGAGAUGAUAAAGGCACUUAGGUUUAAGCCACUCAUUCCACAAAAGCCUACCUUCAUAAUUAACCCUUAGUGAACCCCUUUGAGCCUAACAAGCCAUUAAUUGAUUUACCCUCAAUAUUAACCCAUAACCCAUUAUUGUUGAAAUCCCCUAAUUUGAUCCCUAUUUUUGUCAAGAUUUGAUUUGAAUUAAUUGCUUAGCUAUGUUUUAUUCUUCUUUGUAAUAAUUAAGUUCUAAAUAUUUGACUUGUUCUUAAAAAAAAUACUUACAUACAUAUUAGUAGUAAUUCGUCAUUUUUGAGCUUGAGUGUUAAUUCCAUAUUCUGAGAAGAAGCUCAUUGGUAUUCAACUGAUAAUUAGUUAUUUUUCUAAUUAGGUGAUUUUUUUUAAAUCAAUCUCGAUUCUAACCUUUUCUUUCAACUUGUGACCACACCCCCUAACCAAAGCCACGUUUCAACCAUCUAAAGACCUUUUUGAUUGAUGUAUCAUUUCAAUAUAUAGUGGUGGAGAUUGAUUUUCAUGCAAGCCUAAGGUGAUAACUUUUCAUAUUGACUAAUGAGUGCUUUAUUUGAUGUCCUUAAACACCUUGAGUGAUUUGAGUGAAUCUUUAGUGAGGAUGUUAAACUCUGUGAUAUUUUAAUCAAAGGUGGUUACUUAGAUGAGGAGGGACACCUAUGUUUUCAUGAUAAAAUGCUCAACUUGGAAUGUUUGAAACUUUGAUGUACUUUUAAUUAAAUUUUUAAUGUAUGAUUACUUAUGGAUUAUUUUGAGAUAUUAUUGAUAGGGAUUAUAAAUUGAGAAGAAUUUAUUUUGAUUGUGAGUUGAGGAUUUUGCUUGAGGACAAGCAAAUGCUUAAGUGUGGGGGUAUUUGAUAAUCCAUAAUCUAUACAUAUUUUUAUCCCAUGCUCAGCACAUUUAUGGAUGGUUUCUCCUUAGAUUUGGUGAAUUCGAUGCUUUUAAUUCUUUAAUUUCAUGUUUUAUACUUAGGUGAGCAUAGGAGAGUAAAAAGAGUGAAAAAACGGGAGGAAAACGGAGAAAAUGGACCCACAUGGGAAAUCAACACGGCCUGGACUUCCUCACACGGGUAAGCCACACGGUCGUGUCCAUUUGGCAGGAUCAAAACACGACUUACAUGAGUAGAAUACAUGCCCGUGCCUAUUUAACAGCCUUGACCAUGGGCUGGAGCAAUCGCACACGAGCGUGUCAUACGGGCGUGUCCCUGUCAAGCCCAAGUAUAGUCCUAUCCGGGAAAGGCCACUUUUGAGGGCUCUUAGGCAUUCUAAAGCCUAUUUAAAUAUCUGAGGAGUAAAUAUCUGAGGAGGCAUUUAGAACAUACACAUAGAGUAGGAGGCAAGAAAUUACUCAAGGGAAGCCGAUUGAUCCAUCUUAGAAGCCAGAUUCAUCGUCAAGACUAAAGAUCUCCCUUCAAUUUCCAUUCAGGGGUUUUGGGUUUUCUUUAUGUUUUGUAUUCAUUAUUCUUCUGAGAUGUUUUCUUUUAUAAUUAUGAACUAAACCCCCUAAAUACCUAAGGGGAAUGAAACCUAAAACGGAUCUUGUUAUUAUUAUCUGAAUUGUAUGAUAAAUAUUUGACUUGUUCUUAAUUAUGUGUUCUUAAUUCUUGUCUUAAUAUUCCAGGAUAUUGAUUCAAGAUUAAUACGCUUAUUCAGAGGAGCAAAAGUCCCUGUCUAAGAGUAAAUUUGUCAUAAUUAAGCGGAGUUGACUGCAUGCCUAGAGAUAGCGUGAUAAGAUUUUACCAGAUUAGGGUGAAACUUAAUAAGGGGAUCCAUAGAUCGAAUUAAUGCAACACUAGGGCGUUAAUUAGAAAGAGAUUUCAAUUAAUCAACCUAGGGUUAGACGUUAUUAGUCUCGAAAGAGAUAAUAAUAUAACUUAGGGAUUUCUAUGGAUCAAGUCAAAUGAAUAAAUCGUCUGAUUCAGAGUCAAAUAACAAGUGAAGUCUAGGUGGAUUUUUCCUUAGGUAUUGUCUUAAUAAAUCGAAUUUUCCCAAAAGCUUUUCCCCAAUUUCUCUCUAUGCACUCUUAGUAUAGUUAAUUAGUUUAGAUAAACAAAUCCCUUAAUUUUUAAGCUAAAUAAUAAAAAGAAAGUAAUUAUUAGUACUCUUGGUUCCUUUGGGUUCGACAAUCCGGUCUUGCUAAAGCUAUACUACUGUUCGAUAGGUACACUUGCCUUCAUCGUGAUAAUAGUUAGUUUCAAGAACGAUUAAUUAUAAAUUUUUAAAACCUGUCACGAAUAUCACGUAUCAAUAGAAAUAUAAUAAUAAUAGUUUUAAAAUCAUAUAAGAGGACAUAAAUAAAUAAAUAACAACACGAUAUAAAUAAAUAAAUAAAUAAAAUGUUAAUAACAAGAGUAAAAAAACAUAUAUAAGAAAAAUAAUAAUGAAAAUAAUAUUAGUAUAUAAAUAGAAAUAGAAAUAUAAUAAAUAGAAAUAUAAUAAUAGUAUAAAUAUAAAUAGAUAAAUAAUAAUUAGAUAAAUAAUAAUAGUAUUAGAAUAAAAAAAUAAAUAUAAAUAGAAACAUAAUAAUAAUAGCAAUAAUAUAUUAAAUUAGUUAAUUUGAUAAAAAAAUAGCAAAAAUAAAAAAGGAUUAAAUCAAACCUUAAAGUAAAAUUUUGGGGCAAAUCAAAAAUAAAUAAAAGGAAAUGGACCAAUUUGAACUUGCGAAUAACAAGGAGGGACUAAAAGGGAAAUAAUCCCCAUCCUCCAAAACGCACAGCUUCAAGGAAGACCAAAAUGCAGUCAAAACAAAUUUUAGGGCAACAAUUAAGAAUAAUGAAAACUUAAUUGCAAAACAAUAAGAAAAGGGAAGGGCUAAAAGCAAUUGGACAAAUUUAGAAAAAAACAAAGAAAUUGAAAUGAAAUAGACAAAAUUCCCACGUAAUUGAAAGAGAAGAAAAUAAUUCCAUUCCAAUGGAGAUAGGAAAAGAGAGAAUAAUUCAAUUUCCAAUUGAAGUAGGAAUACCGAAAGUCCUCCCUUUCAAAGAACAAAAUACCCCUAUUUAUAUACAUGGGGUUUACUGAAAACAACCUAACUAAUUUAAUAAAUUAAAAUUAAAAUAAAAAUAAUAUAGUAUCUUCCUAUUUUUGGCCUUUUACCAAGUCAAUAGAAUUUGAUAACUCCUUGGCUUUCUCAAUCUUUUUGAUUUGGCCCCAAUUUAAUGAUUGUCUUUCAAUUUGACCAUUUUUUGCUUUAUUUAUUCAGUUAUUAUUUUUUCCGGGCCCAGGCCAAAAUUGGUCUAUUACACGCAUGAUUUACAAAAUGUGAAAUUUUGGUACCAUGUGGACAUAUGUGAUUUGCAUGUUAAGCAUGCCUAUGUGAUUUUAAGUGAAAAGUGAUAUAAUGAGCAUGCCUCAUAUGCCAAAGUGAAAAAUGAUUUUUUUAAGUGAAAAAGUUAUUUUGACCAUAUCACAUGCAUGGGGUAGGAUAUGUGAAAGGUGAAAGUAUGUGGUAAUUUAUCUGUAUUAACGUGACACUAUUCACGAUUUUGAUUAUGUGGUAGGAUAUCUGCAAUUUUGGUGGCUUGUCCACAAUAUUGCUUAUUGGCUGUUUAUCUACGAUUUUGGUGAUAUUGUUCACAAUUUGGUGUGUUGGAUGGACGAGUUAUGAGGAACUCGAUUUUGGUGUGUGGCGGAGAUUGGUAGGACUGUUUUCAUAAAGUCUGCAUCGUUUUACAAAAUGUUCUUUGAAAUGAUCAUGCAUAGUAUAAGUGUGAAAGAUUGAGUUAUAUGAAAUUGAUAUGAUUAUUAUGAUUGUACAAUGCAUAUGUUUAUAUGCAUGUGAUUGUGUUUAUGUUAAUCUCACACUGAGCUUUAUAGCUCACCUCCUUUUAGUUUUUUGAUUUUACAGAAAACCCGAGGUUAGGAUUCGAUGACGGCAUUUGGAGGAGUUUCUCGGAAGUCUUUUUAAAUUAAAGUAAUUAAAUUUUAUUUUGAUAUGUUGAUAUUUUGCAUUUGUAAUAAAUUUGAGUAUGGACUAUGGCAUGAGACUUUAUUUUGAGGAUUUUUCAUUCUGAUUUGCAUAAAUUGCUUGCAUGACAUUAAGUUUUAAAAAUUGUAUAAAUUAGUAUCCGAUAAGAUUUUGCUUGAAGCUCAGUUUUUAAAAUAGAAUCUGUCAAUAACAUAUUUUUCCGCUACAUUUCUAAAAAAUGAGUUUUAAAAAAAAUAAAAUUAGCCUUAGUUUUCAAAAUUAUUAAUGUUUACAAAUGAGUUUUCUAAAGACAUUUGAUUUAUGAAGUUAAUAUGUUUUUAUUUUCGAAAUAAUGAAGAUUAACCAAGUUAUCCAAUUUUGAAUAAAAAGACAACUGAUUUAGAAGUAUGAUUGAAAAUCCAAAAUAAUUUUGAAUAAAUGAUUGAAUGUUUAAAAUUCAGAUAUUAUUUAUUUUGAUUCCUGAAAUUUUCACGAUUUUUAUGAAAUUAAAAUAAACGUUUUAUUUCAUUUGUUUUGAAUUGAUAAGUCAAUAGUUUUAAAAUAUUUUUUUUUCAAAAUUCUGAAAGUUUAUUUCAGCCAUUUUCGUGGAAAAAUGGUUUUUGAAAUGAGAUUGAAAAUAAAGUUGAACAUUCAAUUUUACUAGUUUUGAACGAAUUGCACAAAUGGUUUAAAAUAAAAUAAAAUAAGUACAUUUGAAACCAAUAAAGUGUUUUUCUGGGUCAUUCCGGUGGCCAAUGUAGCCUUCCGAAUUCAGCCAUAACGACUAGGCCGGGUUUGAGAUGUUACAAUAUGAGGCACAAAAAAAACUUGAGAAGCACAGGUUUCUUUCUAUUCUCCUUCAUCUUCUAAUAUUCCUAGAUUGUUUUGUAAAGAAUUACUGCAAAAGUUCUUUAUAGAAAUUGAUAGUGUUGUUAUACCAUGCUCAAUGCUUAAUAGACUGUUUCCGUUAGUGCAAAAUGUCAACGAUCAUCGGGCUUCAUUGUAUCAUCGAGGUUCAUUUGCUAGAAACUAUUUUACACACCAAAACAUAGGUAGGGGUGAAUAGAACGCUAAAUUUAGUGACAUGAUUAUACAUGUCGAAACCAUUUUUUUUGAAAACGGGCAUUGACUUUGUUUGAAAGCGAAGAUUAAAACGUGAGUCGCCACCGAUCUUUAUUAGGUGUGAUUGGAUCACCUUUGUUUUAAUAAAACAUUUUAGCUUACUAAAACGGUAUUUGGUCUACGAAACUCGAGAGAAUGGGAUCGGGAAUCGAUUAUGUGCGAGGAAGGAUUAGCACCCUCGUCACGCCCAAAAUUGGUACCGAAUUGAUUAGUUAGUGUCUUAAUGUCGAAAGUUGAAAAUCGAGAAUGGAUUUAAAAUAUGAUCCUUUUUAUUAACGUCGAUUUUAAAAAUGCUUGAAUUAGAUCAAAACAAUUGCUAAAGAUUUUCUUGUCUCGAGAUAUCGGGGUAUCACAUCCUGUAACACCCAAAUACCCGUAUCCAUUGCUGGAAUAGGGUCACAUAACAUAACCUGCUCAACUCCUCUAUAGAACACUUCGCGUACAUAAGAAUCAGAUUUGCACUUUUCAGUUUCAAUAAUUUCGAAUCCAAUGUAAUUAAAUAAUUAUAACAACAAUAGCAUGUUUCCGUGAGUAACUUCUAUAGUAUGCGCAUACAAAAGGGUAAAAGUGUAAAGUCUUGAGCUUAAUGUAUAACAUCAUACAACUAAAACUUUUCUAUUCAUUUGGUGAUUUUUCUCCUCUUGACCGAAUACACAUACAUAAUAUAUAUCUCAAAUACUUAACAUGUUAGUUCAAGCAUAACAUAAUCACACUCAUAUCACAUCUAUGAACUUAUAUGUCAAGUUGAUUAACACUUCAAGAUUUAUAUAUAAACCAUUAUCAAAUCCAUACAUAGGACUUUAGCCAUAUUAGCAUGGCUUUAUAUACAAUACUAUCAAAAUAGCAAACCUCCCAAAAUAUUAUCCUAUACAUGCCAUAAUGUCUACUAGAGUUUUAAACAAAGGUACCAAAAAGGUUGUCAAAAGAUGCGAUGACUUCGUAACGGUUCCAAGCUUUCAUCGACAAGAUGAUCUAUACAAAACCAAUAAACACAUCAAGUGAGUUAUUAACUCAGUAAGUCCUAAGAAAUUUCAAGAAUGUAAUAACCCUAUUAAAUUAGCAAAAUAAAAUUUCAAUCCAAUACUAGCCGAAUUCAGCUAUGAUAUCACAAGGAAAUCUUAUGUCACAUACGUACAUUAUGAAUUUGGUACAUACUUACCCGAAUUCACUAUGUACUCCUACACCAUUUAAUGACAAAUUGAAAAUACCAUGGUAAAUGUCAUAUACAAAUCAUUGGCGUAUAUGUAAAUGACAUACAAUGUCCAAUUAUUUAAAUAAAGCACUAACCAAGCCACUCCAUCUAUCAAUCCAAUCUCCAAUCUAUUUAGAUUCAUUUAUCACUACUUUAUAUCUUUGUUCAAUUAUAUACUAAUUGAGCCGAUUACCUUUCUCUUCUUUCUCUCUUCCCAAGCAUUAUAUAUUAAUACACAUAUUAGAAUCAAAUCCCAUGUCUAGUAUCCAUGCACAUUUCAUUACUCCCAAUUUAAUGUUUUAAUGAAUUUUAAUUUGCACAAGUAGUGCUCCACGAUCGAUAUCGCACACUUAGUGCUCGAUUUGAAAGUCCGCACACAUAGUGCUCUUAAUUAUUUGCACACAUAGUGCCACGUUUUCUCGCACACAUAGUGCCAUGUAAUCUCGCACACAUAGUGCCGCAUAGCCUUGCACACAUAGUGCUGUAUUUUCUUAUCUAUUGCUACCACAAUAUCAUAGAUAGGUCAAUAUUUUCACAUUCGAUUUUCAAAAACUCAUACAUACCAUGGUUUCUUAUCCAACUUAUUUUGUGUCAUUUAUGUGCAAUGUUAACCAUAGCUUAAAUUACUUAAGGACUUACUUUUUAGUCGGAUGAACAACUCUGAUUGGCUAUUCAACCGCUUUCGCUUUCCCUUUGGCCGAACAUGGCUCCCUUUGAUCUUGAGCUCCAACUAAGCAAAUAAAAUAACUCAAUCAUUGUAGCCCCAAUUUAUAUUCAUUCCUCAUAGACACACACACAGAUUCGGUAUUCCAUCUAAUAUUAACCAAGCCAUAACAAUAUAACAUUUAAAUAUUCAAGAUUUAUCACCUAAUAACUAAAACCGAUCAUCAAAUUUAUUGAACCAUUUUUUUUAUUCCUUCAAGACCCCAUUCGGCAUUUGCCCACACAUAAUUUAAAAUUUAACCUUUAAACUUAAUGCAUAUCCAAACAUACUUCUCAUCUAUUCCAUUAAUUCGAUACAUAUACAAGAUCAAUUUUGGCAACUCACAUUUCCAAAUUUUUCAAUACUCAACAAUUUGUCAAUUAAUUAGCUAAGCUCAUUUUCAGUUAGUAUUCAUUUAAAUGCUAUCAAGCUCAUAUACUUCUAAUUUCAUGAGUUCAACAUCUUAAUGCCCAUUUUGAUCACUCAAAUAAAUUUCCAAUACAUAAAUUAAGAAUAAAUUUCCAAUACAUAAAUUAAGUCACUCAAACAAUCUUAAUUUAAAUUCGGCAAACACACAUACCAAACUAUCUUAGCCAAAUUCUCCAUAACACUUAAACUAAAAUAUGCACAUUAAACUUACUCAAUUUUCAUUAUGCCUUUCACUCCUAAAACAUAAAAAUAUCAAUCUUAUUCCUUCAUCCAUGUCUCGGUCAAUUGCUCAAAUUACCCCAUAAACAUGAAUUUUGCACUUUAACUUAUCUACCAUGACUCAUUCGGCCUUAACACUUAUUUGAACCAUUUCUCAUACAAGAAAGUAAAAAUAAAAUGAACAUUCCAUUUAAACCCCAUAUGACCGAAUGCACAAAGUAUUACCCAACUAACAAUUCAACAAGUUUAACCUCAUUCUAACAUCUACUUAUUCAAUAUAACAUGAAAACAACCUCUAAUUCCAACAUCUUGAUUCACGGCCUAGUGCCCAAACCACCAUAGAAAUUUGAUUUGCUUGACAUGGCCAAGAAAUGCAUUUAACAAUUAACUUAAACAUAUAAAAAGAUUUCAAAAUCACUUCAAAACUUACCUCCAACUAGCAAAAGAAGGUGCCGAAUUGCCUUAAUGUAAUUUCUCUUUUUCUUUCCUUUUGUUUUGGUUUUGCAAGAAGAAGAAGAUGAACACUUAUGUUUCAGUCUCUUCUUUUAUUCAUCUUUUUAUUUUUAAUUCAUAUUAUUUAUGAUAUUUUAAUCACUUAUCAAUAUAAUAUUUUAAUUAAAUUAAACUUAGUGGAGGGACAUCAUUACUUGGCCGGCCACUUAAUGCAUAUUGGGCAUUUUGACAUGCAAACCCAAACUUUCCUCACACAUUUACCUAACAUAUUUUCUAAGUUUCUCAACUAAGUCCUUUCAAGUGAAAUUCACAUUCACAUGACUAAAUUAAAACAUCAAAUUUUUCACACAUGCACUAUCACACAUAGAAGAUAUGAAAAUUAAUUUUUAAUGAAUUUUAUGACUCGGUUUUGUGGUCCCGAAACCAUAUUCCGACUAGGGUCAAAUUAGGGCUGUCACACAUCCCGUAAGUUAGGACACAAUACCAUGAACUCCCGAGCACAAGUUUAUCUUUAAUUUUAAUUGAAAUUUCAUGUGUCUUGAAACUUAAAGGGAUAUUUGGCCAUUUAGAUUUAACGAGAAAACCGAAAUCCCGUAAGUUAAGGUACGAUUCCUCGAAUUUCCUAAAACACAAAAUAUUGCCUUAUUUGGAAACUUUUCUUUUUGAAAUAUAGUGAGUAUGAUAUUUAACAACGUACAUUUAUUUUGUUUGGAAAAAAUAAAAUGAUCCAUAUUUGAUAAACAUGUUGGAGCUUAACACAUGACAUGAUUUAAAAUAAAAUAAAAGGUACUAUAAAGCAUGGAAUAUUAAUACACGAAUUAGAUGCAAGGUUAAUGAGUGUCAACAAUAUGAGGAUGCUAAAUAAACAAUUUCAAUAACAUGUAAUGGCAAUAUUCACACGACGUACAUCGUUUUUAAUAUCAACCUUAAUAAACAUAGAAAUGAAGUAAUAAUAAAAAACAGCCUAAAACAAAUAAUAAGAUAAUUUUAAAUAAACAAUAUGUACAUAAAAGUUUUAAAAUAAAUACUAUAAAAGCAAUCUAAAGUAAAUAAUACAAAACAAUUUAAAAUCAUUAAUAAAAUGUCUAAAAUAAAUAAUACGUAAAAAAAUUAAAAUAAAUAAUAUACAUAAAAUAAAAACAGUUUAACAUAAAUAAUGUAUAUAAAAAAAUAAUGUAUAAAGAGUUUAAGAUAAACAACAUAUAAAAAUUUGAAAAUAAAUAAUUCAUAUAAAAAGGAAGUUUAAGAAUAAACAUUAUAUGAAUUUAUAAUAAUAAAUAGUUCAAAAAUAAUAUAUAAAAAGAAUUUAAGAUAAAUAAAUAAAAAAACAAUAUGAAGUAAUUAAUAUAUAUAAAAUAAUUCAAAAUGACAUGUAUUAGAAAACAGUUUAAAAUAAAUAUUAUAUAAAAAUUUAAAGUAAGUAAUAUAUAAAAUAGUUAAAAAUAACACACAAAAAUAUAUUUAAAAUAAACAAUACAAAACAGUUUAAAAUAACUAAUAUAAAAGGUUUAAAAUAAAUAAUAUAUAAAAUAGUUUAAACUACAUAAUGUAUAUAAAUUUAAAAUAUAUAAUAUGUAAAAGUUUAAAAUAAAUAAUGUAUAUAAAAAAUUAAAAUAAAUAAUAUGUAAAAUAAUUUAAAAUAGUAUAUAAUGAAACAGGUCAGGGAUUGAAUUGAAGUCGAAGUAAAAAUAUGGGGCAAAAAUUAUAAAUAAUGAAAAAUAGGCCACCAAGGACCAAAAUGAAUCACGCUGAAAUUACGAGGGACUAGCUAGGAAAUAUUUCCAGCCUUUAUUCGUAUCAUUUCAGUAGGGACUGAAAUGAAAUCAGAAGAAAAUUAUCCGGCCAGAUUUUAAAAAAAUAAAGAAAGUGAAAGAAAGGGUGAAAUUGCAGCGCGCACAAAGGCGGAGGGACCUCGCGCAUAAAUAUCCCAAUAAUGGGAAACACGCGGAUCCCCCCUGAGUACGGGUCGGAUUCGGGUCGACCUUUCCGAAAACGACGUCGUUUUGCACCUGGGAAGGCCACCCAAAAUGCUGCCGUUUUUGUGCUUUCUAUUAAAGCAAUUUUUUUUUCUCUUCAUUUCUGCACUCCUUUUUUAAAAAACAGAGAGUUCUUUCUUUUCUUUUUUUUUACUCUCUCCCUCUCCCUUUUAAAACUCUCCUCCACAUUCGGCCUAUAAGGCUGCUUGGUGGUCCGUUACAACCGUUGGCCGACGACGGCGGUGGAGCGCAACCCAGGUACGCCCUUUUCCUCUCUUUUUUUUUUUUAAAUCUAUGCAUUUUUUUAUUAAAAUAGAUUUUUUAAAAGAAGGAAGUAAAUGAAUAAACAUAAAAAACAAAGAUAAACAGAAAAUGAAAGAAAGAAAAAAAAGAAAAAGAACAAAGCAAAACCUUUUAAAACUUCCGUUUUAUUUCUUUUCUGAUUUUUAGUGUGUGUAAAAAGUUUUUGUAAAAAACAGAAAAAGAAGAUACAAUGAGAAGGUUGUGGCUUUUAAAGCCAAGUUACAAGACUUUUCUUUUCUAUUUUUUUUUUGUCUUUUUGCUCUUGUUUCUUCUACUACUUGUGUGUGCCUUUUUUGCUUGCGAGUUGCAGGUGGUUGUCAGAGGCGUGCGAUGCAGGUGAUAGGCGAGCCGAGUGGCGGUGGUGGCGCGCAUGAGGGGCUAAGCGGCGGCUGCAAUGCUAGGGUUCCUUCACUUCUUUUUUUCUGCUGAAAAUGUUUUGGGUUAAUAAGGCUAGGGUUUAGGUUAUUUGGGCCUGUUGGGCUUGUUGGGUUUUGAUUGGGCUAUUGGGUUUAAUAUGUAAGUAGACAUUUAUUUUGGGCUAUUUAAUUAUUUGUUUAGGUUUAUUGUUUUUUUUUGUUUUGUUGACUUGGGCCAAAAUUGGCUAUUACAAUACACUUUGAAGCUUUCGCUAAUUUUUCAUAAAUUCAUUUUUUUAUCCUUAUGCACUGACAAUGUCCCAUAGAUGUAGGAAGUUUUUUAACUAUGGGGACUUUGUUCUGGUGUCCA
rnacentral:lncRNA from 1 species